GGGAAAGUAGCAACACCUCAUUGAGCAGCAUUAGAACGCGCCCAACUAUCGUUGAAGUCUUUCCACUUCCAGGGCCGGCAACAAUCAUCAAAGGUACUGAAAUAUAGCUGCAAGCUGCCUCACGCUGCCUUUCGUUGAGAGAAAGCAAAUACUUCAAAUACUCAUCCGGCAUGUUAGGCAAUCCAUGGUUAACAGAAUCUGUUUGGUUUUCACUACUCAAAGGCGGCGCUGAUGGCACUAACGUGUUAUGACCCAAAUUAUUACUGAGGUUUUAUGCUUUAUUACUGUGAGGAAUUGUUAAUAUACCAGCUGGCAUUUAAAAGUGUAGAGGUUUUAUAAAAGGAGCCCCAGCUCCCCCAAAUGUAUCAGAUCAGAAUUUUACAAAAGAAAUCAAUAUUGGAGCUCUGCUCCUUCUUCUCUCCUUCCCUCUUCUUCCAUAGCUUUCUUGUGCCACUUACAGGUUGAUUAAGGGAAUUGAGAAUUAGAUCUUAUCAAUGGUAUCAUCCUUCUCGAAUCCUGGUUUCCCUCCUGUGCACACCCACCCACCUACGUUUUCUGCCAUGGUUGCUGCGCCCAAGGAUUCGCUUCGCGAGACCCUGGAUGCUCUAUUCGCACCCUACCUGGCUAAGAUCCGCCGUGCCCGUGAGUUGGCUCUCAGCGCUGAGGGAGACUCCACUCCAACCCUUAUGUUCGCUAUCAGUGAUGGGGGAGUUCCUGAUCCAGCCCCGAUGAUUGCCGAUGACGCUGCAGGAAUCGAUCUCGGUCAGAAAAUAAUUCCACGAGUCGCUGCAUCAACUAAUCAGAUUCUGCCGUUGCUCUCGUCAUCGCCGUUAUUGCGAGCACUAGCAAAUCCUCCUGUCAGGCCACCGUCGAACUCAAACGCUUCAUUGGCAAAUUCGCCCAGCCAGCCGCUACACUCAAAUGAUAUUGUAGCAGCCACAAUUCCAUUGCGGAAUGUUGAGAAAACCAGGCCCGUUGCGAUUGUGACCACAAUGCCGCUAUUUCCGAUUUCAGCAACCUUUAGCACUGAAUCAGCCCACGCUCACAAUCACAACCUCGUUUUGAGCACCAAGGAAGCUACAACAAUGGCGCAUGUUCUGGGUUUUCCUCUCAAGAAAGCAGGAGCUACUAAAUCUGUAGGUAUAUCUCAUACAAACACCACGAAGCGUCGACACGAGGUAUUGACAUCCUUGCUUUCCAAUUCUACAAAUCGGAAGGACAAAUGGUAUUGGGUUUUGCAGGUUAUUUUGGCAUAUUAUACUGGUGUUAUUGUGAUAAUGUAUGACGACUUCUUAACUGAUAAAUGUGGAUGGGGUAAUUGGUACCUUGUGGGACAAUUUGUGUUACACGCGCCCCUAAUUUAAAUCGUAUUUUUACUAAAUUUGAGUUUAUCUUGCUUUUAAAAUUAUUUUUGGGUUUUAAAUGGUGUGCCCAAGGCCCACCCCCUGUUUUGUCCCCCGUUCCCUUUCCCUUUCUUUUAUUUAUUUUCUUCUUUCUUCUUCUUCUUCUUCUUCUUUUCUGUUUCUUUUUCUUUCUUUUCCGUCUGUCCCUCUCGGCUCUCUCUGCGCCCUCUCUUCUCUGCACCGCAACAAGCACACGCACGCACCCAUUGCACCUGCGCGAGGAAGACCAUCAUCAUCUCGUCCUGCUCUCUCUCCCUCUCGUGUUUGCGAACCCAGAAAAUCGGAAAGGAUCUUCCGCGAGAUUUUUAUAUUUUCCGGUUAGGUAAGCCUCAAAUCCCUCUCUUUCGUCCUAGAAUCUUUUGAGAAUGGGUUCUAAUUGGUUUUAUUUCGUGAUUUUUGGAGGUUUUAGGAUGAAAACAAACUCGGGUGCAGGAACACCCAUUUCCGGCGAGGAACCCGCCACUUUCGAGUUAAUCUCCGGCCAAACCACGGCGAGUUGGCCGGCGUGCAAGGUAUCAAUCUCUUCGUCUCGUCGAUUACUACAACUUUCCUUUUUGUUUCACCCAAUUUCGUUGAGUAUUGAAGAAGUUAUACUCAUUUGAAUCUUACCCAGUUUCCGGCGAGUCCGACGGCUUUCGAGGCGUUUUCCGGUCAAACCACGGCGAAUUAGACGUCGUGUGAGGUACCAUUCUCUUCGUCUCUUCGAGGGCUACAACUUUCGUUUUUGUCUCGCUUGAUUUCGUUGAGUUUUAACAAAGUUAUAGCCAUUUAAAAUUGGGUGGUUUUCCGGCCGAAAUUCCAGCCUUCUUCUUCCUCGGGUCCGGCGACCCAUCAAACUUGGGCCCUUUGGGCCGUUUCUGUUAAGGGCUUUAAGCCCAAACCCUAAACCUUUGGGCUUUAGGACCAAACCCAAGAACCCAAACCCUAUGACCCAAACCCGGAUCCAAGCCCAGACCCGUUUGACCUGGUCCGACCCGGAUCCUGACCCGUUGACUUUGACCGGUCAACGUUGACUUUUCUAGUUGACUUUUCGGGUUUUCGUCCAAGACCUUCCUAGGCUAAUUUCGACGUCCUGGAUCCGUUUUUGAAGUUCGUUUUCCCAAAUUCAAUCGUUUGAGUAGAGUUUGACUAAAUGGAUCAUUUAUGUGCUUAGGUGAAUUUAAUGACGGCGGUUCCGUUAUUCCUAUUUGGUAUGGCGUUGCACCAACGGUGUACGGUGAGUGGACCCCUUCUAAAAUGCAUGUUUUAUAGUAGAAAUGCAUACAUAAAAAGUAUGAUUUGAUGAUUACCUUUUAUGAAACGUUUUGUGAGAUAACAUGCUUAUUGAGGCUACUUUAAAUUAUUACUAUUUUUCCUAUAACCCGUGUUCUUAUAGAAUAUCUGAUGGAUGACGAUAUGAUAUUAGAACAUGUUUAGAACACCUCUUUAUAGUAUAGAUGAUGGAUGACUUUAUACUAUGAAGUUGUUUUUCAAUAUAUAUGUUCAAUGGUUUUGUACUUACCUAGUGGUCAUUUCCGCUACGGGACGUAGGGAUAGAUUCCGGUCAUUCCCGGGCGACGGUUUGGUGUUGGCAUAGGGCCUGGAGUGUGUUUCCUCUGGCUAUUUAGCACAGGGACGGGGAGCCGGCAUGGGGCCUGAAGUGUAUUUUCCUCUGACUGUCUGCUCAGAGACGGGGAGCCGGCAUGGGGCCUGGGGGUUAUCGGACAAUUCACUAGUGAUUAUUAUAUAUAUAAAAGUUAUGAUUUGAGACACUGCACAUCAUGCUAGGUUUCGGAAAACCUAUGUUUAUCAUUAUAUAUGUGUUUUCAUAAAACUUGGGGGUUAGUACGUUGAUAACUGUUUUGUUAUAUUUAUAUCAAAUUGGUCCACUCAUGUUUGUUUUGCGCCCCCUUCAGGAUUUAGGAUCGAGGCGUACAAUCCCGGCAAUCCAGGCACUUCCGCAUCGGUAUCUUCAAGUCCUCUCGGUGUAGAACCCACUUCUGUGUUCAUUCAAUUUUUAUAUUAAUUCUUUUAAUGUUCUAGAUUAGAUGUGUGCUCUGAACACGUUCCUUAAAUGCAUAUUCUUUAUUUAUAUUUAUAAGUUUUAUCUAUCCUUUAUUUUCAGCAAUUGCACUCAAUAAAUGGCUUUCGUCGCCCUCGGGUGUCGGCCAGCACGUGACCAUCCUGAUAUCCUGAGGAUAUCGGGAUCGGGGCGUGUCAGAUUGGUAUCAGAGCGUGGUUUGUUCAGAGCAUACUUAGGAUCCUCUUCUAUUAUCGUAGAGUGUUGGUUUUGACAUCAUUUGGAUGUCCAGACUUCUAGAUUUGGUGCCAUUCGGCGCAGUCGUGCGAAUCUUCCUCUAUUUGAAUUGUCACAUUCGGGUUGAUAUACAAGAAUUUGUGUCGGGAUUGUGCCUCAUCGGUGACGUGUUUGAAUUGUUGGACGACUUUCAGCUUCAGAUUGAUACUCUACGACGUGCAUUCCCUGGGAAUGACGGGCAUAGUCGGUGUUACUUGGAAGCGACGGAUUUUAGAAAUCUCAGCUUAAGGAAGUCUGGUCAAGACCAGCUGUAAAUUCGAAAUGGCGAUGCCACUCUACAACAUGCGUUCCCUAGGAAUUGCGGGCGGAGUCGGCUUUGCAUCGAAAUCUUGGGAAGCGGAAAAAAAAUCUUGGCAGUACGAAUUGACUAAGACCAACUGGAGUUCUGAAGCGGUGUUGUACUCUGCAACAUGCGUUCCUUAGGAAUGGCGGGCAGAGUCGUAUCUCUUUAGAAAUUACUCGAAACUUUCGAAAUGCAGAUUGAAGAAGCGAGUAAGUGCUAGUGGUGACGACGGUUAGUAGGUGGUAGUUGGUGGGAGCAAAAUCAAUGUUCUCGAACUCAUUACCACUGAAGAAAUUUGGGUGAAUCUUUAUAACAGUUCUCUGUGAUUGUUUUAUCGAUUACCUUCUCGUUUAUUCCAACGACGAAGUCAAGUUCACUGACCUUUGAUCGUCAGCUUCACAUCAAAUCCCUCGAGAGUUGACUUCGUCUAGAGAUUAUACUUUUCUUGGGAAACUCCUCGGUAGCAGACGUUAUUCUCAUCAAUUUCGAAAUGGAGUUGCGAUUCUUGUUGUUGUUGUAGUUGAACUUGGAUAAUGAAGAUUCAGCCUUGUUUGGAUAAACAAAUUCCUUGAACUUCACCUGGGUUUGGUACUUGGUAGUAAACCCUAGUUCCUCAUCCGUGUACUUUUCAGUGAAGGUGAACUUAGUCCCUUGCUUGCAACCUAACUGUUCAGCCUUGUAAUUUUCAGCGUAAUGGCUUGAGACUCUAUCAUAUUCAUCAUUGUACGAAGAUCGAGCUUUACUCUGAACUUCUCUGGGCUCGUUAAGCUUUGAUUUGCUCAGAGGCAUCACUUUAAGGUAGCCAAUCGUGUCACUGCAUGCAUACACAAGCUGCUUUGUAUCUUUCUUCUUCGUUAUUCUGCUGAUUCAGAGGUUUUAUGUUUAAUUUCUGAAUUUUUAAAUGACUAUCGCGAAGUACCGUGAAUCUCGAAAUGUCUUUGGCCUCGUCAAAUCUUAUUAAUAGUUCUUGACUAUUCUUGAGAUUAGACUUGUUCCUUUUGGCUAAGAAACCAGUCGACCUUAUUGUGAUGAGUAGCCAAAUAAUCAUAAACAGUAACUUCUAUUUCUGCAUCUUCAUUUUCCUUCGUUUGUUUGUUUGUUUCUCAAUGUGAACUGGAUCAUGCCGGGACAUUACACGAAGGGUGUAAAAAAAAAAAAAAAAAAAAACGUUUGUUCUCGGCGUGGUUUCUAGUUCAAAUCCGGAUAUCUUGUACUCUAUAUUUAAUGGACUUGUUUUGAACCUUAAAUUCCUGAGUGUUCUUUUAGCCUUAUCGACAUGGUUUCUCUCUCAAUUAGUGAGAAAUUCAUGAUCGAUGGUUUCGGCGGAAGUGUGCGCCCAAUUCUUAUCGAUUUGGACAGGAAUGUUGGGAGCAUAAUCUUUUCACAAGCUUACUAGACUUACCAGAAAGAGUUCCACGUGGGUGUGAAGUUUGAGUUGUCUUUUGGUAAGAGACUGGUGAAGAUUGUGGUGCAGAUGAUUAGCAGAUUGUAUCACUAUCUUCACGCUGAAUUGAAUGGUCACCAUUCAUUAUCCUGCUGCAAUUCAUAAUCAUCAUAUCUUACUCUGGUAGACAUUUUUGAUGAUGUGUUCGCCUCAACGCAGCUUUCCACUACCUCUCACCAGGAUCCUUCGGUUCGAGAGCACGUGGGCGUGAGGUUGAGCGGUCUUUUAGUAAGAGUUGGUUGAAGGUUUUAGUUCAGAAGGUCAGCAUAUUGUAUCACCAUCUUACUAGAAUUCAUAGGCAUCACAUCGGUUAUUUUCCAACGAUAUGUGUUCGUGUCAAUGCAUACUUCGACUGCUUCACUUCUGAACCUUAUUCUUGUGAGUAUGUGGAUGUUGAAUCACUUAUAGCAGAUUUGUUUGGUGCACUCUGGAAUGGCACCACAACGUAGUUGAGAUAAGAAUCGGAAGAUCUUUGCACUUUUUGCGAAUGGUGUGUGCUCUCAUGGGGUGUUUAGGUUGAUUGCAUGAGAGUCAUUCUUUCCUCCAACAUUGAUCUUGUUUGACUAGAAAUCUGCAACUAAGCAAAAAUGGAGAGGUGGAUUGAGCACUACAACAGUUCCCAAGAGAUACUGCGUGUUGAGGAAGAUGACUUCUCGUUUUCUGCUUACCUAGUUCGAGCUUUUGGGUCUACUACUAACAUGGUGGCCACUUCUCUUGAAUCCCAAAGUACAGUUUCAAAUGGGUUCUUUGUUGGCAUAACUCUGGAGUAGUUGGUCACAUUUGGAAUAACUGAGGAAGAGGUUGUGCUUGGUACUAAAGGGAGUUAGUAUGACGAUAGUUAUUGGUUUUGUUCGAUUUGGGUAUGGCACUAUUUGCGACAUGGUACGAGAGUUGCUACACGCAACAUUGGUUGAUAGAGGAGACGUGCAAGCUUGUACUUGGAGGAUCGAAUUUUCGACGUGUGAAAUUGUGCACCCUCAGGAAAUUACUGCUUGUUUACUGAGACAACAAAUGUGUGGUCGAUAUCGCGGGCGGCCGACUGUGGUAUCGAUAAUUUAUUUGUUGGGUUCGUUAAGCAAGUGGGGCAGGAAUAUCCUUUUACGGCAGCCGUUAAAGAUUCACUAUUGUUAGAACUGGACCCAAAGACACAUCUAUUUUCGGAGUACGCGACGUUUCGAAUUCUUGGGCAAGACCCACUCUCAUUCUUCAGUUUUGGUUUUCAGUAUAAGUAUUUUAACCUCAUUUACUCUAGUUAAUUGUUUUGCCAUUACAAAUGUUUUUGGAAAAGUAUUUCCGUUUUCAGUUUUUAAGUGUAGCUCGAAUUUUCAACCUAUAUGUUGGUACAUAUCCAUUUUGACGUUAUCGUAUGUUAUGUUCUUACUUUUGACCUUAAUCUAUUUUAUGUUUUCGACUUUAUAUCUUUAUAAAGUAUGUUUUCUACUUUUACACUGAUGGGGAAGAAAGUAAGCUUGGAGGCAUGAUAGAGGAUUUUGCAACCCGCUCGCGACGGUGUGGUAUAUUCUCUUUGAUGCACCCACUCUGACUUGAUUUCUCUUUAUACAUAUAUUCUUCUUACUAUUUUCGUGUAUUUCAGUUUAGUAGGUGAUUUUAAAUUUCGGGGACGAAAUUCUUUUUAAGGGGGGUAGAUUGUUACACCCGCCCCUAAUUUAAAUCGUAUUUUCACUAAGUUUGAGUUUAUCUUGCUUUUAAAAUUGUUUUUGGGUCUUAAAUGGUGUGCCCAAGGGGCCCCACCCCCUGUUUUGUCCCCCGUUCCCUUUCCCUUUCUUUUAUUUAUUUUCUUCUUUCUUCUUCUUCUUCUUCUUCUUUUCUGUUUCUUUUUCUUUCUUUUCCGUCUGUCCCUCUCGGCUCUCUCUGCGCCCUCUCUUCUUUGCACCGCAACAAGCACACGCACGCACCCAUUGCACCUGCGCGAGGAAGACCAUCAUCAUCUCGUCCUGCUCUCUCUCCCUCUCGUGUUUGCGAACCCAGAAAAUCGGAAAGGAUCUCCCGCGAGAUUUUUAUAUUUUCCGGUUAGGUAAGCCUUAAAUCCCUCUCUUUCGUCCUAGAAUCUUUGAGAAUGGGUUCUAAUUGGUUUUAUUUCGUGAUUUUUGGAGGUUUUAGGAUGAAAACAAACUCGGGUGCAUGAACACCCAUUUCCGGCGAGGAACCCGCCACUUUCGAGUUAAUCUCCGGCCAAACCACGGCGAGUUGGCCGGCGUGCAAGGUAUCAAUCUCUUCGUCUCGUCGAUUACUACAACUUUCCUUUUUGUUUCACCCAAUUUCGUUGAGUAUUGAAGAAGUUAUACUCAUUUGAAUCUUACCCAGUUUCCGGCGAGUCCGACGGCUUUCGAGGCUUUUUCCGGUCAAACCACGGCGAAUUAGACGUCGUGUGAGGUACCAUUCUCUUCGUCUCUUCGAGGGCUACAACUUUCGUUUUUGUCUCGCUUGAUUUCGUUGAGUUUUGACAAAGUUAUAGCCAUUUAAAAUUGGGUGGUUUUCCGGCCGAAAUUCCGGCCUUCUUCUUCCUCGGGUCCGGCAACCCAUCAAACUUGGGCCCUUUGGGCCGUUUCUGUUAAGGGCUUUAAGCCCAAACCCUAAACCUUUGGGCUUUAGGACCAAACCCAAGAACCCAAACCCUAUGACCCAAACCCGGAUCCAAGCCCAGACCUGUUUGACCUGGUUCGACCCGGAUCCUGACCCGUUGACUUUGACCGGUCAACGUUGACUUUUCUAGUUGACUUUUCGGGUUUUCGUCCAAGACCUUCCUAGGCUAAUUUCGACGUCCUGGAUCCGUUUUUGAAGUUCGUUUUCCCAAAUUCAAUCGUUUGAGUAGAGUUUGACUAAAUGGAUCAUUUAUGUGCUUAGGUGAAUUUAAUGACGGCGGUUCCGUUAUUCCUAUUUGGUAUGGCGUUGCACCAACGGUGUACGGUGAGUGGACCCCUUCUAAAAUGCAUGUUUUAUAGUAGAAAUGCAUACAUAAAAAGUAUGAUUUGAUGAUUACCUUUUAUGAAACGUUUUGUGAGAUAACAUGCUUAUUGAGGCUACUUUAAAUUAUUACUAUUUUUCCUAUAACCCGUGUUCUUAUAGAAUAUCUGAUGGAUGACGAUAUGAUAUUAGAACAUGUUUAGAAUGUCACAGCCCGUCCCGGGAUUUCUAUAUCGGGGGCGUGAAUUGACGUAACUACCCUUGACGGACAUUCGGGUACGUGUGUGUGCGACAUUAUUGAAUUAAUUUUGUAAGUUUUGGGAUUUUAAUUUUGGAAUUUGGAAAUUUUUGUGGUUAGGGAAUUGGAUGGAUGGUGAGGAUUGUGUUGGACCACACAAUCACACACACACGCACUCCCUGUCUUCUCUCCCUCCCGUAGCUCUCUCUGUCCCUCUCCCUCACGAUCUCUCUCUUUCCCCUCACCCUAUACGUACGGCCUUCACCCAAAACCCUUCAAAACUCGACGGAUCGAGGCAAAUAAGGUAUGCAUCUUCAUCCUUUCGUCGUCCUGAGUUCAUUGGUGCUAGUUUUAGGAAGUGAAACCUUCGAUUUCACAUAGAUCCCGAACCUCCAUUUUUGAGGUACUGUUCAUGCGAACGUAAAAUGUUGUGUUUCAGGAGAUUUCAAGCUUGUGGUGAGCUUUAGGAGGUUCCUAAGGAAGCUCGGGGACGUUCGUUGGAGAGUUUUGGACGUCGGGAUCGUAGGUUUCAAGUUUGGCCGAAUCUUUGGUUUUUCCAAGGUGAGAUUUCGUAGUUUUUAGGCCCUAAAACAAGUCCAACGUGAUUGUACACUCUUAGGGCUUCAAUUUGGUAUAAAAUACGAAGAAAAUGGGUGAAAAACGAAGGAGAAUAGUGAGUUUGAAAAUCGGCCGGAGUUCGGCCGGAGUCCGGCCACCAGAGAACCAGUCCGGCGAGACCUGCGAAGAAGACGACACGUGCGCUGCACGUGCUGCGCGUGGCCAGCGCGUGGACCCGUGCCACGUGUGGCGCGUGGGGGCGCGUGGGGCUUCCAAAAAUUUUUCUAAAAAUUUCUCGACGCUCGUGACGUCGAGUAGGUCGAUGUGGUAUAUUAUUAUACCAAAAUUGAGCAUCGUAUGAGAAGUUAUUUCAAAUUAUUGGUGAUGUGCUUAAAAUUAAUGUUUUUAUAGUUGUUUCGCAUAUAGGUGAGACGUAUCCCGAGGACGACCGCAUCCAGGGACGCCACGGGGGUUACGACGACCCGUCGACUUAUCAGUGAGUGGGCAGUUUUGUUUUCGUAUUACCUAUAUACUACUGUUUUUCCCAGAAAAAUGUUUAUAUGAAAAUAUGUUUUGAAUAUGCCAUGCAUAGAAUUAUUUGAAAAUCAUGAAUUGGUUUAUGAACUAUAUGAUUGAAAUAUGAUGCAUACAUGUUGCAUGGUGCUGUGGAGGCACAGGUAAGUCAGGUGAGUUCAUUUAUUCAUUGAAUUGUUGUUGUUGAGAUGAGUUGAGCUCAUAAUCUGCACCCUAGGUGUUAGUGCUUAUAUUAUUCACCACACCGCACGCUCGUCUUGGAUCCAAGUAGGUGGAUGUCGUACAGACCAUGUGAGGGUUCCGACAUGCUAGUCGUACAGAUCACUAGGCGUGAUUCCGACUAGUGGGUGACCUUAGUUAUGCGCGCUGAUGAUAUGAUGAGAGAAGCACUAGAGCGUAUUUUUACACCUUUCAUCGUAUAGACUACCUUACGUAGUUCCGAGUGAUGUGCAGAGUAGGGCCGUAUAGGUCACUGUGGUGACUCCGGCUUAGUGGGAUUUUUGAGCUAUUGAAUUAAUCGUAUAGGACCAACUGCAGGGUCUCCGAUUGAUUCCUUAUUUCACCUGAUUUAUAUUUUUUAUUUAUGUCAUGGCAUGUUUUCUUGAAAAUGUUAAAGAUUUGAGAUUUAAAUGUUGAGAUUUUAUAUGGUUAUAUAUAUUUCUGGGAAAGUAUACAGGUUUUUACGGCGAGGGGAUAUAACUGUUUUAAUGAAAUGUUUUGGAAAACUAAUUUGUUUUACUGACCCACUCAUUUUGUUUUGCGCCCCUCCAGGUUCUAGUUUAGCGGUGGUUGGCUCACGAGGUCCUUUCCGGCUUUCUGACAGAUUUGGGACAUGUAGGACUCACCUGAGGGUGAUGUAUUCUUAUUUUAGUCCUACUUGACUGCAGUUAACCUAUGCUCUGAACUUAUGUGUUUACUUGUAAACUCGUCCGGUUAUGUCCGUAUGUGGUUAUGUUGAGUUUGGGUUGAAUUUCUGUUGUUAUUACGCUUCCGUGUCGUGCUUAUGGUUACGUCACGCCCACGUGACGGCCAGCACACCUGGAUCCUCCGGAUCAGGGUGUGUCAGUUUGGUAUCAGAGCUUAGGUUGCAGUCCUGUAAAAUUGUUAAUGUCUUAACGAUCUUUUUGAUGUUUUCUGUCAGAAUCAUGCCGCCUCGUAGAGAGCGUAGGGAGUCCCGCCGUACUCCUGAACCUAAUUUCCCAGAUAUUACUCAGUUAGGGGAAGCGAUGGCCCAGGCUUUACAGAAUGUGAUUCGUCCUCCCCCUCCUCCGAGGACACCUCUGGAGACCAUGUACAACUUGAAGUUAGAUCGGUUUAUGGGUAAUGAAAGUCAUGAGGGGGCAGAGAAAUGGCUUGAUCAUAUUGAGAAAACCUUUCAGGUGAUGCAGAGUCAGGGGAAUCUCCCUGCUAAUAGGUGGGUGGAGACCACCACUUGGUUUCUGGGUUGUGAACCAGCAGCAUGGUGGAUAAAUCAGGCUAGGUACAUGUCACCUGAGACGGCAGCCGACUGGAAAGUAUUCAAGGAGCAUUUUAUGAAGAGAUUUCGUUCCUCCUGAGUAUAUUGACCGUAAGAAGCAGGAAUUCACCAGGUUGAAACAGAGAAAUAUGUCGGCACAUGAAUAUUAUAGAAAGUUUACUGAUUUGUCUCGUUAUGACACUGAUAUAGCUGGUAAUCAGGGAGAGAUGCUUCGACGUUUCAAGUUGGGAUCUAAGAAGAAGUGGCGUACCUUUGCCAAUGCACUUCCCUGCGCUGAUUAUCAUGAGUAUUUCGAGAUUUUGGUUAGGAUGGAGGACUCUGAUAAUCUUCCUGACAGUGAGGAUGACGAGGACAAGAAUGAGGGUCAGAAGAAGAAUGAUAAGGGUAAGGGUAUUUCUAUUCCUGGACCUCGACAGACACAGAGUUUUUAAGAAGAGUGGAGCGAGUUCGAGUUCUUCUAGUGGGGGAUAUAGUUUUACUGGCCCGAGGAGAGGUGGUGGAAGAUUUUCUGGUGGACCCAGAUUUCAGGGUCAGAGGGAUGCUGGUGGAUCUGGCGCUCCAUGGUGCCGCCGUUGUAACUCCCGUCACCAUGGUGAGUGUAGGAGAGGUUCUGGUGCCUUGUUUUUACGUGUGGGACAGAUGGGACAUCGGGCUUCUCAGUGCCCCCAGGGUCAGCAGAGACCGCAGCAGACUAAUAUGCCACCUCCAGCACCAGUUCAGCAGAGUUUUGGGACCGGGUGGUUAUGGCCAGCCGAGUCGUGGUGGUGCCUACCACUAUCAGGGGGAUGCUGCUCCGUAUGCUUCCGGACCUUAUCAGUAUUCUCAGGAGCCUUAUCCUCAGGCAGGGUAUUCUCAGGAUUUUGGAGGUUAUUCUUCUUAUUCCUCUAUGCCAGCUGGUGGAUCGCAGUGGCAUCAGGGAGGCCAGCCCCGUCAGGGGGAAGUUGCUACUGGUGGUGCAGGAUCAUCCAGGCAGCCUAGUCAGCCAGGCCAGGGACGAGGUAAUCAGGGCAAUAGAGGCCGAGGUGGACGUCAGCAAGCUCAGGGGCGAGUUAAUCAUAUUGUCCCUGCAGGAGGCUCAGAACCAUCCAGACUUGAUAAUGGGUACGUUAAAUGUUCUUGGUCAUUUUGCUAAGGUUUUGAUUGAUUGUGGCGCUACGCACUCUGUGAUUUCUCAUACGUUUGCUCAAAUAACCCAACCUCACCCUUCACCUCUAGGAUUUGAUUUAGAGUUUGCCAUGCCUAGAGGAGAUAAAUGUAUUGUGGAUAGUGUGUAUCUGGGGUGUCCAGUGAUGGUUGAGGGCGUGAUUAUGUCCGCUGAUCUUAUUCCGUUAGAUAUUGUGGAUUUUGAUGUGAUUUUAGGGGCCGAUUGGUUACACCAUAAUCGUGCCCAUAUUGAUUGUUAUGGUAAAUCAGUUACUUUUUAUCGUCCUGGAUUACCCGAGGUUAUUUUUGUGGGCGAGAGAAGUGGGGUGAGACAUGGAGUUAUUUCUGCCAUAAGGGCGAGGAAAUUAUUAUCGAAGGGUUGUCAGGGAUAUUUGGCACAUGUGGUAUUAAAUGAUGUUGCUCCUACUAGUAUAGAAGAAGUUGGUGUGGUCAGACAUUAUCCGGAUGUUUUCCCUGAUGAUUUGCCGGGAUUGCCGCCAGACAGAGAGGUGGAAUUCUCUAUUGAUUUGCUUCCAGGUACGGACCCUAUAUCUCUGACUCCUUAUAGAAUGGCUCCUGCUGAGUUAAGGGAAUUAAAAAUCCAGUUGCAAGAAUUACUUGAUAAAGGUUUUAUUCAACCUAGUUCUUCACCUUGGGGUGCCCCAGUAUUAUUUGUGAAGAAGAAGGAUGGAACUCUUUCGAUUGUGUAUUGAUUAUAGACAAUUGAACCGGGUAACGAUUAAAAACCGUUAUCCAUUGCCCCGCAUUGAUGAUUUGUUUGAUCAGCUGAAAGGUGCGUGUGUAUUUUCUAAGAUUGAUUUGAGAUCCGGGUAUUAUCAAUUGAAGAUUAAAGAAGACGAUGUACCUAAGACGGCUUUCCGAACUCGGUACGGACAUUAUGAAUUUUCGGUUAUGCCGUUUGGGUUGACUAAUGCACCUGCAGCUUUUAUGAGAUUAAUGAAUGAGGUAUUCCAGAAAUAUCUUGAUAAAUUUGUUAUUGUUUUUAUUGAUGAUAUUCUGGUAUACUCUAAGUCCCAAGCAGAUCAUAUCCGACACCUUAAUUUGGUGUUAAGGAAAUUAAGGGAGCAUCAGUUGUAUGCCAAGUUCAGUAAAUGUCAGUUUUGGUUGACUGAAGUGGCAUUUUUGGGGCAUGUUGUAUCAGCUCAAGGUAUUCAAGUUGAUCCUCAAAAGAUUGCAGCAGUGGAGAAUUGGGAGCAACCUCGAACCGUCACGGAGGUACGAAGUUUUCUUGGCUUAGCAGGUUAUUAUCGACGGUUCGUUCAGGAUUUCUCUAUGAUUGCUUUACCGUUGACAAAGUUGACCAGGAAGGAUGUUAAAUUUGAGUGGGAUGAGAAUUGUGAGCGGAGUUUUCAACAAUUGAAGUAUUGCCUCACUCAUGCACCGGUGUUGGUACUUCCCGACGAUAGCGGUAAUUUUGAGAUAUAUAGUGAUGCUUCAUUAAAUGGUUUGGGAUGUGUUUUGAUGCAGCAUAAUAAGGUGAUUGCCUAUGCUUCUAGGCAGUUGAAAAAAUCAUGAAAGGAACUAUCCUACUCACGAUCUUGAAUUGGCAGCAAUUGUUUUUGCUUUGAAAAUUUGGAGGACAUUACUUUGUAUGGUGAGAAGUGUAAGAUCUUCACUGAUCACAAGAGUCUUCAGUAUUUGUUUACUCAGCAUGAUCUUAAUCUUCGUCAGCGAAGGUGGAUGGAAUUGUUAAGUGAUUAUGAUUGUUCUAUUGAAUACCAUCCAGGUCGUGCUAAUGUAGUAGCGGAUGCACUGAGUAGGAAACCUCAAGGUAGACUUAAUGCCCUUAUAUGCUAGUCGUGUUCCUCUUCUUGCUGAAUCUGAGGACAACUGGGGUAAGGUUGGAAAUUGAAAGACCGAGGAUGGAGCUUUUCUUGCUAGUUUUCAAGUCAGGCCAGUUUUGGUGGAGCGUAUACUUGCAGCUCAGAUGGUGAAUGAGGAAAGUUCAAGGAGUUGGUUCAGUUAAGAAGUGAAGGGAAAAAGAAAGACCUCAGAAUUCGGGAAUCAGACGGUAUGCUCAUGCAAGAAGACAGAAUGUAUGUUCCGAAUAAUGAGGAAUUGAAGAAGGAAAUUCUGGACGAAGCACAUUGUUCAGCUUAUGCGAUGCAUCCGGGAGGAACAAAAAUGUAUAUCAUACCAUUCGACCAUUUUAUUAUUGGCCGGGUAUGAAAAGAGAAAUUGCAGAAUAUGUGAGCAGGUGUAUUAUUUGCCAGCAAGUGAAAGCAGAAAGAAAGAAGCCAUUUGGGCGAAUGCAACCCCUUCCUGUUCCCCAGUGGAAAUGGGAAAAUAUAACCAAUGGAUUUCGUGUAUAAACUUCCUCGUACGCGAAAUGGAUUUGAUGGUAUUUGGGUGAUUGUGGAUCGACUCACCAAGUCGGCGCAUUUCAUUCCUGUGAGGGAGAAAUACCCUCUGAAUAAAUUGGCUAAGUUGUUUAUUUCGAAGAUUGUCAAGUAUCAUGGAGUCCCAGUAAAUAUUAUCUCCGAUCGAGACCCGAGGUUUACUUCUAAAUUUUGGGUGGCUUUUCAGGAAGCUCUGGGUACUCAAUUACUGUAUAGCACAGCUUAUCAUCCUCAAACUGAUGGGCAAUCAGAGAGGACCAUUCAGACGUUGGAAGGAUAUGUUGAGAUCUUCAGUACUGCAAUUUGGUGAUUCUUGGCAUGAUCGUCUGGACUUAAUGGAGUUUGCUUAUAAUAACAGUUUUUCACUCGAGCAUUGGUAUGUCCCCAUUCGAGGCACUUUAUGGUAGGGCGUGUCGAACGCCAUUAUGUUGGUCUGAGGUUGGUGAACGGGUAUUAGAAGGCCCUGAGAUCGUGGAUGAGACGACUCAAAAUGUUCAGAUAAUUAAGUCAAACCUGAAAGCAGCCCAGGAUCGACAGAAGAGUUUAGCGGAUCGGCAUACUACUGAUCGAGUGUAUGAUGUGGGUGAUUGGGUAUUUUUGAAAUUGUCGCCUUGGAGAGGUGUAGUACGAUUUGGGAAAAGAGGAAAGUUAAGCCCGAGAUAUAUUGGACCUUAUGUGAUCACUGAAAGAGUUGGUGAAGUUGCCUAUCGGUUGGAACUGCCUCCGGAGUUAUCUAAGGUCCAUAAUGUGUUCCACGUCUCUAUGCUUCGGCAUUAUAUUUCUGAUCCUUCUCAUGUGAUCCCUCCUCAACCGUUAGAGAUUAAUCCGGAAUUUGACGUAUGAUGAGGAACCGGUCACUAUCUUGGAUUGGAAAGAUAAGGUUCUAAGGAACAAGACGGUGAGUUUGGUAAAGGUGUUGUGGAUGAACCAUUCUGCAGAGGAAGCCACCUGGGAGACGGAAGAUCGGAUGAGAGAGAUGUACCCAAGGUUAUUUUAUGGGUACUAAGUGGUUAAUUUGGAUUGUGGGAAUUUCGGGGACGAAAUUCUAUAAGGAGGGGAGAUUGUCACAGCCCGUCCCCGGGAUUUCUAUAUCGGGAAUGUGAAUUGACAGUAACUACCCUUGAUUGGACAUUCGGGUACGUGUGUGUGCGACAUUAAAUUGAAAUUUUGUAAGUUUUGGGAUUUUAAUUUUGGAAUUUGGAAAUUUUUUGUGGUUAGGGAAUUGGAUGGAUGGUGAGGAUUGUGUUGGACCACACAAUCACACACACACGCACUCCCUGUCUUCUCUCCCUCCCGUAGCUCUCUCUGUCCCUCUCCCUCACGAUCUCUCUCUUUCACCCUCACCCUAUACGUACGGCCUUCACCCAAAACCCUUCAAAACUCGACGGAUCGAGGGGCAAAUAAGGUAUGCAUCUUCAUCCUUUCGUCGUCCUGAGUUCAUUGGUGCUAGUUUUAGGAAGUGAAACCUUCGAUUUCACAUAGAUCCCGAACCUCCAUUUUUGAGGUACUGUUCAUGCGAACGUAAAAUGUUGUGUUUCAGGAGAUUUCAAGCUUGUGGUGAGCUUUAGGAGGUUCUAAGGAAGCUCGGGGACGUUCGUUGGAGAGUUUUGGACGUCGGGAUCGUAGGUUUCAAGUUUGGCCGAAUCUUUGGUUUUUCCAAGGUGAGAUUUCGUAGUUUUUAGGCCCUAAAACAAGUCCAACGUGAUUGUACACUCUUAGGGCUUCAAUUUGGUAUAAAAUACGAAGAAAAUGGGUGAAAAAACGAAGGAGAAUAGUGAGUUUGAAAAUCGGCCGGAGUUCGGCCGGAGUCCGGCCACCGGAGAACCAGUCCGGCGAGGACCUGCGAAGAAGACGACACGUGCGCUGCACGUGCUGCGCGUGGCCAGCGCGUGGACCCGUGCCACGUGUGGCGCGUGGGGGCGCGUGGGGCUUCCAAAAAAUUUUUCUAAAAAUUUCUCGACGCUCGUGACGUCGAGUAGGUCGAUGUGGUAUAUUAUUAUACCAAAAAUUGAGCAUCGUAUGAGAAGUUAUUUCAAAUUAUUGGUGAUGUGCUUUAAAAUUAAUGUUUUUAUAGUUGUUUCGCAUAUAGGUGAGACGUAUCCCGAGGACGACCGCAUCCAGGGACGCCACGGGGGUUACGACCCGUCGACUUAUCAGUGAAUGGGCAGUUUUGUUUUCGUAUUACCUAUAUACUACUGUUUUUCCCAGAAAAAUGCAUUUAUAUGAAAAUAUGUUUUUGAAUAUGCCAUGCAUAGAAUUAUUUGAAAAUCAUGAAUUGGUUUCACAUGAACUAUAUGAUUGAAAUAUGAUGCAUACAUGUUGCAUGGUGCUGUGGAGGCACAGGUAAGUCAGGUGAGUUCAUUUAUUCAUUGAAUUGUUGUUGUUGAGAUGAGUUGAGCUCAUAAUCUGCACCCUAGGUGUUAGUGCUUAUAUUAUUCACCACACCGCACGCUCGUCUUGGAUCCAAGUAGGUGGAUGUCGUACAGACCAUGUGAGGGUUCCGACAUGCUAGUCGUACAGAUCACUAGGCGUGAUUCCGACUAGUGGGUGACCUUAGUUAUGCGCGCUGAUGAUAUGAUGAGAGAAGCACUAGAGCGUAUUUUUACACCUUUCAUCGUAUAGACUACCUUACGUAGUUCCGAGUGAUGUGCAGAGUAGGGCCGUAUAGGUCACUGUGGUGACUCCGGCUUAGUGGGAUUUGAGCUAUUGAAUUAAUCGUAUAGGACCAACUGCAGGGUCUCCGAUUGAUUCCUUAUUCACCUGAUUUAUAUUUUUUAUUUAUGUCAUGGCAUGUUUUCUUGAAAAUGUUAAAGAUUUGAGAUUUAAAUGUUGAGAUUUUAUAUGGUUAUAUAUAUUUCUGGGAAAGUAUACAGGUUUUUACGGCGAGGGGAUAUAACUGUUUUAAUGAAAUGUUUUGGAAAACUAAUUUGUUUUACUGACCCACUCAUUUUGUUUUGCGCCCCUCCAGGUUCUAGUUUAGCGGUGGUUGGCUCACGAGGUCCUUUCCGGCUUUCUGACAGAUUUGGGACAUGUAGGACUCACCUGAGGGUGAUGUAUUCUUAUUUUAGUCCUACUUGACUGCAGUUAACCUAUGCUCUGAACUUAUGUGUUUACUUGUAACUCGUCCGGUUAUGUCCGUAUGUGGUUAUGUUGAGUUUGGGUUGAAUUUCUGUUGUUAUUACGCUUCCGUGUCGUGCUUAUGGUUACGUCACGCCCACGUGACGGCCAGCACACCUGGAUCCUCCGGAUCAGGGUGUGUCAUAGAACACCUCUUUAUAGUAUAGAUGAUGGAUGACUUUAUACUAUGAAGUUGUUUUUCAAUAUAUAUGUUCAAUGGUUUUGUACUUACCUAGUGGUCCUUUCCGCUACGGGACGUAGGGAUAGAUUCCGGUCAUUCCCGGGCGACGGUUUGGUGUUGGCAUAGGGCCUGGAGUGUGUUUCCUCUGGCUAUUUAGCACAGGGACGGGGAGCCGGCAUGGGGCCUGAAGUGUAUUUUCCUCUGACUGUCUGCUCAGAGACGGGGAGCCGGCAUGGGGCCUGGGGGUUAUCGGACAAUUCACUAGUGAUUAUUAUAUAUAUAAAAGUUAUGAUUUGAGACACUGCACAUCAUGCUAGGUUUCGGAAAACCUAUGUUUAUCAUUAUAUAUGUGUUUUCAUAAAACUUGGGGGUUAGUACGUUGAUAACUGUUUUGUUAUAUUUAUAUCAAAUUGGUCCACUCAUGUUUGUUUUGCGCCCCCUUCAGGAUUUAGGAUCGAGGCGUACAAUCCCGGCAAUCCAGGCACUUCCGCAUCGGUAUCUUCAAGUCCUCUCGGUGUAGAACCCACUUCUGUGUUCAUUCAAUUUUUAUAUUAAUCCUUUUAAUGUUCUAGAUUAGAUGUGUGCUCUGAACACGUUCCUUAAAUGCAUAUUCUUUAUUCUCUUAUAUUUAUAAGUUUUAUCUAUCCUUUAUUUUCAGCAAUUGCACUCAAUAAAUGGCUUUCGUCGCCCUCGGGUGUCGGCCAGCACGUGACCAUCCUGAUAUCCUGAGGAUAUCGGGAUCGGGGCGUGUCAAUUUGUGAAGAAGAAUUUUUAUGCACUGCAACUGUUUGAUCGUCUGUCUAAGAGAGGGAGUGCAAAUGUACAUGUGCUUUAUGUGGCCUCUUUAGAUAUGCAUGAUUUAGAAGCUAGCCCUAAACUGGAUGGUAGUAGCAGCAAGCCAAGGGUUAAAGAAGUGUCUUCUGAAGAAAAAGAUAAUGUGUCUCACAUUGAGAUUAAGAUUACUGAAUACCAUAGCUCCGAUGAAAAGUGUGUUCUGAGGUAUCUUAAUCUUUCAGACAACGCCAUGGGCAACUAUGGUGUCAAUGCAUUUGAGUCACUUCUUAGUUCACAAAACAAUUUGAGAGAACUUUAUUUGAUGAAUAUGGCAAGGCUCAAUAUGUGUCAUAACAUGAGGGAGUGGCACUGCGAUGCUAUUAGGAAGAUCAAAUGGCUGAAUGAGAAUGAGAUUUCUGUUAUGAUCAAUACCGAAGGACAAGCAAACUAUGAAGGUUUUUUUUAUUGUAUCAAAUAUGGUGAGGAGCUCACUUUUAAGCUGUUGCUCUAUUUCCAAGCUGUCAAGGCAAAAAGUCUUGGGUUUACUAAACUUGGGUCACCAAAAGAGGCUAAGAAGGUUGUUGGGAACAUGAAUGAUGUUACUGCUAGUGCCAAACAGCUAAAGGAGAUGGAACAAGGCUUGACCAGUUUGAUAGUUUUGGGGAAUGGGCGAUUGUCUGAUCUUAUUGCACAGCUGCAGGAUAUAUUAGAGGGUGUAAAUGAAGCUGAUAUCUUGCCGGAGAAGUUUGAUAAUGCAGUUAUUAAAGCUCAGAUUCCACAAUUGGCUCGAGAAAUCAGGGAGUUAACCUCAUCUCGACCUGUAACCAUCUACAAUGAGAAUUCUUCCUCUAGUGGGAAUUAUGCUUCAUAUUUAGUUCCACUUGCUGCACUUGCUGCAAUGGGCUAUUGUUACAUGUGGUGGAGAGAUUGGUCAUUUUCAGAUGUGAUGUAUGUGACAAGGCAUAAUAUGGCAAAUGUUGUUGAAGCUCUAAUUAGAGAGGUAGCUAGCAAGAGCAAUGACUUUGCUGGGAACGGAACAACAAAUACAUUGAAGAUGAGUGAAUGCGCUAUGGGCACCUAUUUAGAUUUAGUAUGCUCUCUUAGUCACCUGGAAAGCAAUUUUGGUGGUGCCUUAGUUAUUGAUUUACAUGUUGAGUUCUCUUUGUUUUUCACUUGUAACCCUGACUGUCGGCUUUUAUGGGAUCCAGGAGAUGCAAUGGCUAAAACUGUUAAGAUGAUACUCUAUUUUAAAAAUGUCAAGGCAGAGUGGCUUAACAGGGUUACAAAAAUAACCAAGUUUGGUAGUUUUAUGGUACAAUUGGAUAGAAGUGUUGAAGCUUUGAAUAAGGGCAAAAAGCAAAAAACUAGAGAUGGUGGAUAUGGUGAUGAGAUAAAGAGAUUGCAUGAUUUAAGCGUGAACAAGGUUGUGGAUAUGGCGACUAGGUUCGAAAGUGCAUUGGUAGGACAUGUUAACAAUAUAAUUUGUAGUACUACUGUAAGAUUGGAGAGACUUCACUCCGAUGAUUGGUGGUGUUCUGCUAUAUCUCAACUGCUGAUGAUUGGUAAAUCCAUCGUAUCUAGUUCAAACAAAACUCAGGAAGCAAAUGUGGAUGCUGUUUUGGGAACCGGUGAUCCGAGUCUACUAGUUGAGAACACUUCAGUUGAGCAGCUUGGUUUCGUCAGAAAGGUGACAAUCUUUAAGGACUCCACUUCCAUUAUUGGUGAUGCAGCAUCAAAAGAUGGGUUGCAAGUCCAUGGUGUGUCUCCAUUUGACAUUAUGGGCAGAAAUCUUUUCUGGGAAAAGCAACUGCAAAGGCUGCAAAUGGGAGCUGUCACAAGAAAGUUCUUGGUGGUUAAUUUCAGUUCUGGUUUUGAUGAAUCUUCAUAUCUCUCUCGGGUUGAAAAUUUUGAGGAGAUGUCACAAGAAAAUUAUGGAGAGGCUACAGGAAACAAGAACUCACUCACUCAGUUCAAGCGAGCUGCCAUACCUGGAAGGAUUAUAAUGAUUUCAAAGUCAAGUUCUACAAUUCCAUUUUUAAGCCUUGAGGACAAGGCUAAUUUUCAAGGGGGAAGUAUUGUUAUGACCCAAAUUAUUACUGAGGUUUUAUGCUUUAUUACUGUGAGGAAUUGUUAAUAUGCCAGCUGGCAUUUAAAAGUGUAGAGGUUUUAUAAAAGGAGCCCCAGCUCCCCCAAAUGUAUCAGAUCAGAAUUUUACAAAAGAAAUCAAUAUUGGAGCUCUGCUCCUUCUUCUCUCAUUCCCUCUUCUUCCAUAGCUUUCUUGUGCCACUUGCAGGUUGAUUAAGGGAAUUGAGAAUUAGAUCUUAUCAUAACGUCACUACCACAACUCCCAAUAUCAUCACGCUGAAUGUCCACACUCGGUUUCUGCUCAAUUAAAGCGUCAAUUUCCUGCAAAAUACUCUCAUCGAAAUCAUCAUCGUUAAGAAUUCCAGAUGCAGAGAAAGAAUCAAAUGAAGUCAGAAACUGCGGUUGUCUGAUUGGAGUUGUGAAAGAAUCCGAUUUUGACACGCUUGAUUCGGUCCGGCUAACGCUUAAGCUCCCGGAACACGAAGCACUGCCAUAUUCACCACGCGCUGAAUUGUACCGGCUUGCGGAAAUCGGAAGCGGUGUUCUUUGAACUCUAUUGAGCUGAGUUGGCGUUUGGAUUCCAUUUCCGCCAAAAAACACAAUUGAAUUGAUUUAAAUUGAAGCAAGAAAACAGCCAAGUAGCCAAAAAAUAGUAAGAAGAUGAAACCUUUGAUUCCUGAACGACUUACUUGGUAUGAGGGAGGUGAUGAUCAGGUGAAACGGCGUCGUUGCAGGGGCGUUUGCGAUCAAUGAGGGCCUUGGCGGCUCUGAAAUUCCGAGAGAUGCGGUUUCUUUGUUCCGCCGUGAGCCCUCCGCCGUACGCCUGAACGUUUUCCUUGGACAUUGCUUCCAAGAUUCCAACGGAGGAUUUGGCCUGACGGCCUGACCAGGCUGAUAACAGUGUAAAACCUUAGGAGCUAAGGAAAAACUAAGAGAGAGAUUGUAGAGAGGGAAAGUUUUUUCUUUUUGGAAACCAGUAGAGAGGGAAAGUUUGUUAAACCUGAAUAAUAUUCUUUUCAUUCAACUUGUCUACAAUAAUUACCACUCGUGGUAUUUAUACAUUUGUAACACACCUCACUAACUAACUAAGACCACCACCAAUCAUACAUAAACACUUGUCAUAAUCCUAUGCACUCAUAGUAUCAUCACUUUAACAUUCCCCUCAAGCUCAUGUGGCAGAUUGCCAAGCAUGAGAUUGGAACAAUUACGAGCGAACUGGGGUGAACACAAGCCUUUGGUGAACAUGUCGGCAUAUUGAUCUGCAGAGGUAACAAACUACAAAAUAAUUGUCCUUUGAUGAACUCUUUCACGAACAAAGUGGCAAUCAAUCUCUAUAUGUUUGGCUUUAUAGUGCAAUACAGGAUUAGUGGCAAGAGCCAUUGUUGAAAUGUUAUCACAAUGCAAAACUAGAACAGAAGGAGAACCAACAUGCAAAUCUCGAAGAAGCUGUUGUAUCCAGAUAACCUUAGCAGUGGUUGUAGCCAUUGCUCUAUAUUUAGCUUCAGUGGAAGACCUACUCACUGUAUGCUGCUUUUUAGAACUCCAAGAGAUAGGAGUAUCUCCCAAAAAAAUGACAAAACCCGUGGUUGAACGACAAUCAUUGGGAUCCCCUACCCAAUCAGCAUCUGUAUAAGCUUUCAACUGAGAUGAACCUGAUUUAAAACAUAAUCCCAAAGAUAUAGUGCCUCUGCGAUAUCGUAGAAUACGUUUCACAGCAGCAAAUGAGUGGCUAAGGGUGAAUGCAUAAACUGACGUACUUGAUUGACAGAAAAAUAAAUAUAUGGUCUUGUAAAUGUUACGUAUUGCAGUGCCCCAACAAUACUUUUGUAAGUGGUAGGAUCAAAAACAGGUUCACUACCAUGAUUCAGAAGCUUCUGAUUAGGAUGACAAGGUGUGGAAAAAAGGUUUACAGUCUAGCAUAUGCAUCUUUUAAAGGAGUUCUUUGACAUACUUGGUCUGAUGAACAAAGAGUCCCUGACCCUGAUACUCAAUCUGUAAACCAAGAAAAUAAUGCAACACACCUAGAUCUUUCAUGCCAAACUCACUAGUUAACUAACUAAUAACCUUCUGAACCUUCACAGCAUCAUUACCAGUGAGAAUGAUAUCAUCAACAUAUAAUAAGAGAACAAUAAUUGAUGAACCAUCACACUUGACAAAUAAAGAAGGAUCUGCAUAUGAUGACUUGAACCCAAGCUUAGGCAAAUAACCUGAAAACCUGUCAUGCUAGGCUCUGGGAGCUUGCUUGAGACCAUAUAAAAACCUCUCUAGUUUGCACACAUAAUCUGGAUAGGUAGAAUCCACAAACCUUUGGGACUGAGACAUAUAAACUUCUUCAUCAAGAAAGCCAUGCAAAAAAGCAUUAUUGACAUCUAACUGUUUGAGUUUCCAAUUAUGAGAUGCAGCCAAGGAUAAAACCAAUCGAACUAUGGUUGGUUUGACCACAGGGCUAAAGGUUUCAUAAUAGCUAAUACCAACUUCUUGAGAAUACCCAUUAGCUACAAUUCUAGCCUUGUACCUAGCCACUGAACCAUCUGGAUUUCUCUUAAUCUUGUAAAUCCAUUUACAACCAACAAGAUUUUUGUCAGGUGCUAAGGGCACAAGCUUCCAAGUAUGAAGCAUCCAUCUCUUCUUUCAUGGCAUUUUGCCAUUGAACACACUUGACUGCACUAGAAAAAGACCGAGGUCCAAUAAAUGGAAAUGUGGAAGAAACACUAGGUGGAUGAAUGAAUGUGUUUGAAUGCACAACAGACACUGGUGAGGAAGAAUGACCAGAAGUAACUUGAGGAUUGAAACCCAAAGCAUUAGAGUCUAUAGGAAACUUGGAUUCAUAAAAAAUAACAUGUCUAGAUACUAAUAGUUUAUGAUCUUUGAGAGAGAAGCAAAUAUACCCUUUGUAUUGUGUAGCAUACCCCAGAAAAAUACACUUAGUAGUUUUAGGUUCAAGUUUAUUGCUUCUAUAGGGUUUCAAUGAAGGAUAGCAUAAACACCCAAAAAAUCUCAAAUGAUCAAGCUUAGGUGGAGAUUUAUAUAGCAUUUCAAAAGGAGACUGCAUAUGUAGGGUAGGUGUGGGCAUUUUGUUUAUAAGAAAAGUAGCAGUGGCACAGGCAUGGAACUAGAAUUUUGAAGGUAAUGAAACUUGUUGUAAAAAGGUAAUAGUUGUUUCGACAAUAUGUUGAUUUUUUCUCUCAGCCAACCCAUUAUGUUAUGGGGUAUAAGGACAAGAUUUUUUAUGAACAAUGCCUUUGGUAAGAAGAAAUUGCUUAAACUGAGUACUAACAUAUUCCCUACCCCCAUCACUCUGCAAAAUUUUUACAUGAGCAUCAAAAUAAUUCGAGACAGAAGCAAGAAAGUUGACAAAAACAGUGAACACUGCAACUUUAUUAUUUAAUGGAAAAAUCUAGGUAUAUCUUGUACAUUCAUCAAUAAAGGAAACAUAAUACUUGUAACCUUCUAUAGACAAACUAGGUGAGGGACCCCAAACAUCUAUGUGAAUUACUUCAAAUGGAGUAAGUGACUUCGAAGCAAUUACAGGAAAAAGGAGCUUGGUAAACUUGCCUUGCAAACAAGCAUUACAAGUAUGAGAUUGAGAGUUACAAGGAAAAGAUAUACAAGACUUAUUAAGUGCUGCAGUGACAGUGGAAUGUGUAGGAUGGCCUAAUUGACAAUGCCACAAUGUAGAAGAAAUCUUUUGACCCACAAAUGCAACUGGAUUAAAAACAGGAGAAAUAGACCUCUGUGGUUUGAUUAUGGGAAGUGGAUAGACAACAUUAUUACUCAGCCCUUGGAAUAGCACUCUCCCGGUGACCUUGUCCUGUAGACAGAGAGAAACAUCAUCCAUGAUACAACGACACUGAUUAUCUUUGCACAACUGAUUCAUAGAUAAUAAGUGUUGUGACAGUUUUGGAACAUGUAACACAGAGUUUAACUUGAAAUUAUGUGACUAAGUGAGAAGAGAAGAGGAACCAAUAUGUUUGACAGCUAAACCUUCACCACUAGCACUGGUCACAAUAUCAUUUGAUGGAUAAAUUUAUUGUCAUGUGCAAGUUUGACAAAUCUGAGGUCAUAUGGUUAGUUGCUCCCAAGUCAAGAAACCAGAAAUCUUGUUGAAGAGUUGAGGAUGAUGCACCAGCUCGUGCUUGCAUAGCAAGAGGAGGAUUUUGUGAGGAUAUAGUUAAUAGAUACAUAUGUGGUAUGACAAGAUACUGAAACUGUGAGCUAUUAGACUGUGGAAUCAUGCCUUGUGAAGGACCACAUGGAUUCUAGCUAGGUGCUUCACCAUAUGACCCAGUAGGCAUUGGAGUUGGCAUAGAUGAGGAUAAACCCUAAGAGAAAUGCUCUGAUGUGCCUGUGAAAUUUUUAUUCUGAUCAAAGCAAGUAGCAGCAACAUGACAACCUCUGUGACAAAUUUGACAUCCAUGUUGAAAACAAUUCAAUGCAGAAUGACCUUUGCGAUCACAUAUUUGCAGAAUGGCCUUUGCAACCCUAGAAAGAAGGAGCGAAGAAGACCAAAUGUGUACGUUUCUCUUUGGUUUUUUUUCCCUCCUAAUCGCGCUGUUCGAAAUCACGGACCUCGGGCCUGGGCCUAGUGGGCCCAAUUAUGAGGCCCAUUAUCUCCGGUCUUCUCGUUCUACUUCUAGUUACCCAAAUUAAGAACGUACGCUUUUAGCGCGAGAGAGAAAUGGAGGCCCUGAUUGCCUCGUACGGAGACUCGUCGUCGGGCUCAGACUCCGAGUCGCCGGCUCCACCUCCACCACCACCUCCGGAGCUCAACAACCCUCAAGAACCGACCCCUGCGCUGCCUCCACCUCCUCUGUCACUUCUCGACAGCCCCAAUUCCUUCGGUAACCUCUGAUUCCCAUCAAUUUUCAUCUUUUAGCUUUCUGUUGUGAUGGCUUUUUCCGAGUUGCCCACCAAGUGUUUGAUGUUUUGCCUCCGAAGAAUUUCUGGACUUAUCGGCAAGCGCCCAGCCGAGCAGAGUUCGGAACUUUCCUCACGUCGAAGGGAACUACGCAGUACAUGUAUACAUCCCAGGUUAUCAAAAUUCUCGAAAUUUUCAGCUCCAUUAGCAAAUGCGAUCGCUUUGCACUUAGUUUUUGCUUGUUUAAUUGUGUGGUUCCAGUUUAUAUACCACCAGCACCAAGGAAAGAGAUGGCCUUGUUUUUGAACAAGCUAGCUUCUCUGCUGCCUGGUCUCCAUGCGGUUGACGUUGACUUCCCGCUUGACAUUCUGCGUAAGGACGAGCACAAGCUUGAACAAGUUGCUUUAGGCAGAGAGUUCCAUAUAAGUCUCGGAAGAACUGUUCCGAUGCGGGUGCACCAGAUUGAUUCCUUGGUGACAAUGCUGCGGCAGAAGCUUCAGAUUCAGAGGCGGUAUGGUUACAUUUACAUUCUCUUGUCUGCAUUGCGUGAAUUUAGUUCUGUUAUUUAACAUAAUUCUGUAAGCCUGUUUUCGUAUAAAUGCACGGUUGAAUCAGCUUUCAUUGUCUACAAGUCUGAAAUAUUUUAACUUCCAUUGAUUUCAGAUAACAAAGCAGAUUCAAGCUGUGAAUGAGGUGUAUAAGCUUCACAAUCUUCCUGAAUUUUACAAGGUUAGCUUUUUCGUGCUUUUCAAACUCGAAUCGGUUCCUGAAUGUAUGACAAUAUAUUGGAUCAAACGAUUUCUCAAAACACUAAUUCACUUGAUGGGGUCUUGGUGAUCACAGGAUCCACGCCCUCACAUCUCGGUAGCUUGAGCAUUGGGUGACAUCAGCAAUUCCCUGAACAAAGUGGUUGAAGAAGAAAGACGAAGAUCUACCAUCGGAGGAUCGUUACAGAAAUGUAUUUUUACCAGUAAAUUCAAUGGUAUCGAUAUCGAAUGUAGGAUUGGUAAUAAAACACACAAAAUAUGUAAAUUUUCUGAAGAAUAAUGUAGCCAUUUAACUGUAUUGUGAAAUUCCGAGAAUAUAUGGCUGAGCAUUGGAUGAGAAGACAUUUCUUCGUUGGUGUCGAACUUCUUGUCGAAGGUAUUGGCACCAGUGUAAACGUCAUCAUCCAUGUUGAUGGUAAUUACUUACCAGCUACUAAGGGUGUCGGAACAACCUUGCACGCACCCUCCUGUGCAUUACUUGGUAUUGUCUCGGAUUCUCCAAACUUGAAUGCUAAUGUAAACCCACUCUUGACCUUUCCGUCAUCUGCAAUUACCGGAAAGCCGGCUUGGAUGUUGCCGUUGACCUACCAAACUUAAAAUACCGACGAAAUGUUGGAGUACUUCAGUGUACUACUCGUUUUUGUAUGCGAGAGCUCCACCUCUAUCGUUGUAACAGCAUCUGAUGCGGACUAGUCCUUCAUUCCCGUUACUCUUUGCCAUCUCCACUUCAAACUUGGUGUGAUGGCUCCCGGCCUCCUCUCCGGUGAAAUUGAGUAACCCCGGAGCUGGCGUGCCAUCAAGAUUUCCGUUGUGUCUCUAUUUGCUGUUGUGGUUCGGUUCCACUAUAAACUUGGCAGAGUUAGCAUUUUCAUUCUGUUGUCUGUAUAUCUUGAUAUUACAAGUAUUUGUUGUGCAAAAUGCAUGCUAAGUUCAAGUUAUGUUUAUAUGUGUGUGUGUGUUGCCACUUUUCCAACGUUUUCUCCAAAAUUGUGACGAGCAACAAAGCAGUUUUGAUUCCGUGCACAACAACGAUACCUCGAAAGAAAUUGAUUCUUCCCCAGAAAGAUGUUUUAAAACAAAGUUGAACAAGGGAAGAAAACUUUUGAAUCGCAAUCAGAUGUCUGGUCAAAUUCUUUAACAGUUGAUGUAUACAGAAGUUCCUUGCUUAUGACACGACUUAUGAGAGGAUGUAUGUAUUGCAUUUGCAUCAAAAGAAAGAAAGAAGGUUGUAAGUGGUAAGGGAACGACUACCGAUGCCGCUCCACUUCUAAUCAAAGGGAUCGAUCCGAGGGUCGUGUUCACUUGCCAUCGCCAUUCCAGUGCAAAGGCAUGUCGGGCACAUUACCUGCCACAUUUACAGACGCAAUGUUAGAUAUAGCUGCCAUUUGGAAGUCAUCUCUCAAAAUUUUGCUACUAAAUUAAUCUUAAACUUCAUUUCCAGUGCAAUUUUUUUCUUCUGAAUUGUCUUUCACAUGCCCGACAAAUAGAAGUAUCACCAAACAUGUGAUAUAGAGCAUCUAAGCGGCAGGCACUAAAAGGAAUUUAGUAUGCAAUAAACAUUCAACGGACAUAAUUAUAUGUCUAACCUUUCCCGCUCCUGAGCAAUUUGAACAUCGUUCAGUUUUUGGCAGAGAUAGGGGUUGGUUUCCGCCAUCAGCUGUCGAUACUGGUUCAGUAAGAACAAGGGUUCCAGUGCUGGAGCAACGAGCACAAGCAAGAGAUCCUGCGUAAGUAUCAAAUACACAGGUAAGUUGACAUACGAAACCAAUCCGAACAUCUCCAUCGUAUAUAUUUAAAGCUACAGUACAUAAAACUAAAAGUCAGAAAUAUAGGACAUUAUCACACCAGUUCCAAGACAAUAUUUGCAUCGUUUAUGCUCCUGCUGUUUCACAUUGUUUAUUUCAACUACCAUCAAUGCUGAGAUCACUCCGACUGCUCCUCCAGAGAAUGACGCCACUAUGGGAUCAACUUGACUGCAGUUUGAAAGUAAAGGAGAUCAAUAAACGAAACUGGUAACAACAUAGUAUCAACAUUAUUUAGCUUCGUUUCAAGAAAGAUGACAUCCUAGGUUUUUCUAAUGUGUAAAAAUUGAGGAUCCUCGUAAAAUUUGACUAUAUCGGUUCCCAAAGCAUUUGAUUCCUACGUUACAGACGGAAAACAGCAACAAUCGAAUUUAAAGAUUCAUAACACGAUAGAUGGUACAAAAUUUCAAAACGAUAAUUACUAGAGAACAGGAGGGUUAAUAGCCUGAGAUAUGAGCAAUACCUCAACUGCAACGGCAGAUGCAUAUUUACUAUAAAGUCUUUAUAUGAUGUGCCUCCUAUUCCCAGCUUCAACUCCAACUGAAAGAUGUAAAGGUAAUUGUAGGCAAAGAGUUACAAACAUAACCGAAUCCAUGUUUUAUAAGCAACAACUACACUUAUUUUGAUAUGUUUCCUCAUUUUUUACUUGCAAAUUCCAAACCAUAUUGUCGGACCAGUAAAAGAAAAUAAUGUUUAUGAUAACUGUUAAAACUAAUUACAACAAGUUAAUGCAUAAAGAACUUACGGAGGGUGCUAUGAGGCCACCGAAAAGGAUAAACCCCGCAAUAAUUGAAUAACAAACAGCAUAAUACUGCUUAAGGUUGUCUGAACUCUGCAAGCAAUGAAUUCACCUUGUGAUUAAUACUUUGCACAAACACUAGUUUUCGCAAUUUUUUAUGAAUCGACAAAAGGCUACAACAAAAUAUGGCUAAAACAUGUCGGGGAUAUGAAAAUACAUGUCUUCACAGGGGCACCAGCUUACCAGGGGAGGCAAAAAUGGAAUGAACGAUGGAAAACUAGGAAGUUCGUUUUCUUGAUCUUCAUUUACCGCUCCAAGCUCUGCACGUUUAAUCCGCUGUUGUAUCCUCAGCCUGCGAACCUACGCAUAUCGAAGCUCAUUCUUAAAGAACACAUUUCUAAUGGCAAUUGGAGAGUAAUUUAAAACAUGCUACACUGAGAAAGUGGUAGCAACUAGCAAUUGCUCUCACCUCCUCCAUAUGCAAGAAAAUUUUGUUGCGACGACUCCGAAUAUUAUCUUGAAUUUCCUGCAGCUCCAUUGUGGCAAAAUCCUGCACUGUUUCAGGCCCCUCUAUGAUACAAAAUCUGCACCAUUAAGCAUGUAAAAAUUAAAAAUUACAAGCUACAAAGCAAUUUCCGUAUAGUUGUUGGGUUAAAUAACAUCAACAGCAAAUAAAUCACAUAGGUUUUUCACAUAAAGUUACAAACUUUCAAGGACUAAUAAGCUGUCUGCAAUCUCAUAAAUUUCACAGUGCAAAGUAACAAUCCAAAGCUUGGAACUUUAAAUUUCCACCUUCUGUUAAUUUUUUAGUGCACCUGGUGUCGUUAGAUUCGAGUAGUAUGUCACAUUAAAUUUUUUUUUUCUGUGCAUGCAUUUUUUUUUAAAAGAAAAUUUAUAUUGUUAAAGAGCGAGUUCGAAACUAUUACAUUAUGGAAGGACAUAGUACCGAAACUCCGACGAUCAAAAACAAAAUCAUGUACAACCACUCCAAGCAGUCAACAUGGCCAUCACAUAUUGAAUCCAAAAUGUUGACGCCCCAUUCGCUGCAUAUAAUGUACAGACGAGCGGCAGCUUCAACCAGUUCUGCCAUAUCCGGCUGGAUGAGAGCAGCUAAAGACAUGAUUGUUCCCUAAUAACAUGAAUAAAUUGAGUAAACACCAAAAGUAGCAGCAAGGGAAGGAGAUGUGAAGUAUAUGAAGAGGUGUAAGACCUGUGAAUGUCCAGCAACAAAGAUUUUGGAGCUUGUUGUCGAAUAAUGCAACGCGUCAUUUCUGGUAGAUCAAAUAGAGCCAAUUCCCGCCAACUCCAAUUCCAAAAUUUCUACAGUAAAGCAUAAAUCUUAUUCUCUCUUCUGAUAAAGAUGAGUGUCCCAGACUCCAACGUGUUCCACACACAUUCCCUACCCAUACAUCGAAACCUUCAUCUGCAAGGACGAAUCCCAGCGAUUCUUCUGGAGAAUUUAAGAAUCAUGCAUCACCUGGUUAAGAUCAAGAAAAGCCAGUAACCAAGUUCAAUUGAGUUAAAAUGUAUCCCAUGGAUGUUCAUCACUUUGCCCAAUUGUUCUUUUCAAGAAAGGAAAUUUCAACAGAACCUGAAAACUUCAGAUCAGGGGGCACCAAAUAGUGAGCUAUACAUUCAAAAUUUGAAAUAAUCAACUUAGUAGGACCAGUAUGUUGAAAAAAUAGGAAGGAGCUAUGAAAGUAAGACUUUUCACUAAUCAGGCGUCCAGAGAAUCCAUAUUUUACCCGCGUAUCAGUUACGGGGAACACUCCCCACCAGAGCAAUCUCAUUAGUCCUUCACAUCUCAACCGUACAGAAGUUGCACUAACAAACAUGACUCCUAUUAGUCCUUCACAUCUCAAAUCCAGGAAGUACCCAUCUUUCGUCUGAAUCUGGAAAAUAAGCAGCAGUCAAUUUAACAAUCUCGGUAUCUCAAAGUUACUCACUUUAAUCACAAAUUUAGCAAUUAAACAUAUAAAUGGGCAUUUUUUUAGGGAAAUAUUAGUAUAGUACUCACUGUGUGCUCGGAGCAAGAGUACCCAGAAAGCUCAAUGAGCUGCGCACAGAGGACUGCAGUGGUGAACGACAGCGACCGCACAGAGGACUGCAGUGGUGAACGACAGUGACCAAUUCUGUAAAAUUUAGUCGAGUUUUGGGAAAUUUCUGCAGCGAUUUCGGAGGUCAAGAGGCUGAUAAGGAAAGCCGCGACCAAAGGGCACUGGUCUGGAAGAAAGGCUUUGGUCGCCGCUAUCGCAAUUCACGAAGGAAGAAGUGCCCCAAAACAAUUUCGGCCCUGGACAGGUGCACUGUUUGCACUGAGCCAGGGCCGGCCCUGAAUCGCGAUAACGUCCUUCUCCAAACAGUAUAUAUACAGAUGCUAGAAAAAUCUACCGGAACUAUUCAAUUCUAGCGUCUACAGCUUUAGCAUUAGUUGGUACAAGGGGCAUUCUUCCAAAGAGGGAGAUGAAAUCGUUGAGGCACCAAAUAGUGAGCUAUACAUUCAAAAUUUGAAAUAACCUCUUGGUAGGACCAAUAUGUUGAAAAAAUUGGAAGGAGCUAUGAAAGUAUGGCUUUUCACUAAUCAGGCGUCCACAGAAUCAAUAUUUUACUCACAGAUCAUUUACGGGGAACACUCCCCACCAUAACAAUCUUUUUAGUCCUUCACAUCUCAAACCAAGUAGAAAUUGCAGUAACAAACACGACUUCUAUUAGUCCUUCACAUCUCAAACCCAGUAAGUACCCAUCUUUCGUCUGAAUCUGGAAAACAAGCAGCAGUGGAUUCAACAAUCUGGGUAUCUCAAAGUCACUCACUUUAAUCACAAAAUUAACAAUUAAACAUAUAAAUGGGCAUUUAUUUAGUGAAAUAUUAGUAUAGUACUCACUGUGUGCUCGGAGCAAGAGUACCCAGAAAGCUCAAUGAGCUGCGCACAGAGGGACUGCAGCGGUGACGACGGCAACCGAUUCUGUAAAAUUCAGUCGAGUUUUGGGCGAUUUCUGCAGCGAUUUCGGAGGUCAAGAGGCUGAUAAGGAAAGCUGGGACGGAAGGGCACUGGUCUGGAAGAAAGGCUCAGGACACCGCUGUCCCGAUUCGUGAAGGAAGAAGUGCCCCCAAAACAAUUUCGGCUCUGGACAGGUGUACUGUUUGCACUGGACCAGGGUCGGCCCUGGCGAUAACGUCCCCCAAACAGCACAUAUACAGAUGCUAGAAAUAUAUAAAUGUAACCUGAAACUACUAGAACCAUUCAAUUCUAGCGUCUACAGCUUUAGCAUUAGUUGGUACAAGGGACAUUCUUCCAAAGAGGGAGAUGAACUCAUUGAGGCUCUUAUUUAUUCCUCCUCUUGAUGUGCCCUUUUAGGCUGCUAAUUCCACACGAUCCAAUCUCAUACAUCUUCCCUGCAAAAGCAUGUGUGCCUGACUUCAAGAUCAAAUUUUUCCAACAAAAGAAACUUAAAGAUCAAACUCGCUAGAGGAAUAAGUGGUGCACAAGGGUGUUAAAAUCUUGACAUAUGUAUAUUUUUGGCAGAUUUUAUGUGAGCAUGCAACUAAAACUGGCAUCACUAUCAAUGGUGCACAAAGAUUGGUGGAAAACUUUAACAGUUUGAGUUGUAACUUCUCCAUUGUAUUUGUUAAGGCAAGACGGAUGUCAUCUAUUCAUUUUUCUGUAAAACUUAAAAGGCUGCAUAGCAGCUCUUGUUCGUUGUAUUGAAUACCGUGGUUUUACUGAUGAAUGCAGAGUUUGCUGAUGAUUCAUACGACAAGCAAUUGAAAAUCCCAUCAUUAUGCCCCCCAUAUACCAGAAGAAAAAAAAGUCAUUUACACAAAUUCAGAGCGUUCAUCCACUGUAAUUUGCAGAUAUAGAAACGUUAAGAUAAAAGGAAAUGCAAAGUACCUUUCACCAAAUUGGAGGAGCACCGGUGGCAUUAGCAAGUUAGCAACGGGAAUUGACAUACCAAUAUCUUCACAGUUUCUGCACAAGCACAAAUCAAAAGAAUCCGGAGGUGGAGUUAUGUACCUCUCCUUGGAAAAUGCCACCUCUUGGGAUUUCAAAAUAUGCGGCCGUGGCUAGCCGUCUGACCACGCCAAUUCCACCAAAGCCGCCGCAACGCGGUGUAGUGUCCGAUUGAUUGCUUCAAAUCAGAGCUUCGUAUCCAUGUGUUUAUCAGCAGAGAGUACCCAAAACCCCUGAAAAUUAUUUCUUUAUUCAGAUAAUAAAAUAUCCCAAAUUUCGAAUUUUAAUUCCGAAUCAAAAAUAGGGUUUGAAUUUUGAUUACCUAUAAAUUGGGGGGUUGCGGUGGAAAGGGAGUCAGCCAAGACGGCGAUAUGCGUCCUCGAGAGGGCUAUGAAAAUACAAAUUACAGAGCGUGUUGGGACGAUGUACAAGGCUUUUGCAGUCUCUCAAAUAUAAAUACCGAAGCUCCGUAAGGCGUUCAAUCCAGGGGGAAAGCUCUUUAAUAGAUGUUCCAUCCAGGAAAAGACUUCUUAAUCCUUCCAUAUUUUCUUCAAUGCUUGGAAACAACUCAAAUUUUGUACAACCGGAAAGAGAGAGAGAGAAAAGGGACUUGAGCUGACAAAUGCUGCUUGGAAGACUCUUAAGUUCUUUGCAAUCUUUUAGAUUCAAAUGAUUCAAUCCCGUAAGAUUAUUAAUUGACGAGGGCAGUUCUUUAAUUUUUGACCCGGAUAAAUUAAGCUCUUCUAACUCCUCCAUACCUUCUGAAAUCUUUGGAAACAUCUCAAGACUAGAGCAGCCAGAAAGAUUAAAGGUUUUGAGAGAUUUCAUACGAAUGCUGCUUGGAAGACUCUUAAGUUCCGUGCAAUUAUGUAGAUUCAAAUGACACAACCUCGUAAGAUUAUUAAUUGACGAGGACAGUUCUUUAAUUUUUGAGCAGGGUAAAUCAAGCUUUUCUAACCCCUCAAUACCUUCUGAAAUCGAUGGAAACAUCUCAAGACUGAAGCAGCCAUAAAGAUUAAAGGUUUUCAGACAUUUCAUAUGAAUGCAGCUUGGAAGACUCUUAAGUUCCUUGCAAUCUUUUAGGUUGAAAUGACUCAACCCCGUGAGAUUAUUAAUUGACAGGGACAGUUCUUUAAUUUUUGACCCGGAUAAAUUAAGCUCUUCUAACUCCUCCAUACCUUCUGAAAUCUCUGGAAACAUCUCAAGACUGGUGCAGUCAGAAAGAUUAAAGGUUUUGAGAGAUCUCAUACGAAUUUUGCUAGGUAGAAUCUUAAGUUCCUUGCAAUCUUUUAGGUUGAAAUGACUCAACCCCGAGAGAUUAUUAAUUGACAGGGGCAGUUCUUUAAUUUUUGACCCAGAUAAAUUAAGCUCUUCUAACCCCUCCAUACCUUCUGAAAUCUCUGGAAACAUCUCAAGACUGGAGCAGUCACAAAGAUUAAAGGUUUUGAGAGAUCUCAUACAAAUUUUGCUAGGUAGAAUCUUAAGUUCCUUGCAAUCUUUUAGGUUGAAAUGACUCAACCCCGAGAGAUUAUUAAUUGACAGGGGCAAUUCUUUAAUUUUUGACCCGGAUAAAUUAAGCUCUUCUAACUCCUCCAUACCUUCUGAAAUCUCUGGAAACAUCUCAAGACUGGAGCAGUCAGAAAGAUUCAAGGUUUUGAGAGAUCUCAUACAAAUUUUGCUAGGUAGAAUCUUAAGUUCAUUGCACCCAUGCAGAUCCAAUAAAACAAGGUUUGUAAGAGUCGAAAUAGACGGGUGAACCUCAACUAAGCUUAUACAACUUCGAACAAUUAGCCUCUCAAGAUUUGGCACAUUUGUGAAGUCAGGGGUUUCCUUAAGGGAUUGACAAUAACUUAAAUUGAUGAAUUUCAACUUUUCCUGCGUCUGUUCAAACAUUCAGGAAAACAUGCAUUACUUAAUAAGACAUCUCACUCAAAGCCCAAACAUUUAAAAGAUACAAAUACAUGUAAAUGAUUGUACGUACCUGGGUUCCUUCCCAAAGUCGGUCAAUGAGACUACAUUGCAUGUCAAGUUCAACAAGAUUUUCGAAUUGAAAGUUGGAUGGCAAAGACUUGAGAGGGAAACCAAGCCAGGAGAGAUACCUCAGGUUAAGCAACUUUAAGGACCCAAACAGGUGUUGUUUGCAGUACUCAUCUUUAAAAACGAAGUGCCUAUAACUGAUCUCGAGAAGUCUUCGUUGAGCAUUUAAGUUCCCAUGAAGACCGAUCGUGAGAAGUCUUCGUUGAAUCCUUCUAACAACAGAUUCAGCAUUUAAGUGCCUAUGACUGAUCUUGAGAAGUCUUAGUUGAGUCAUUCUAACAAAAGCUUCAGCAUUUAAGCAUGGCCAGCCUGAGUACGAGAAAUCCACAAUUAUGCUUUCAACUGUUUUUGUAGCCUGUGCAAAUCAAAGUAAAGGAAAAUACAGAGAAAUUAGUUUUGAUUAUGAAAUUAAUGAUUGUUUCUUAAGGAGCCGUCUGAUAAUCAUUUCAUUUUCUAUUUAAUUGUUUUCAAUUUUCAUUAUUAAAACAAUGAAAACUAAAAAUAAAAAAUUGAAAACAAAAAUGGUUAUCAAAUGGGCCUAAGAAAUUGAUUUUGGUCAAAAGUUGAAGCUUUCUACUAAUAAUUGCAUAAGAAAAAGAUUUCUCACCGUAUUUUGAGAUAGCACGUGAUGAACAUCUUCAUAACUCCACAACCUACUUCGUCUCCCAGGCUCUUUGAUACAUUCUUGGCGGACGAUUUCCCGACCCAUUUCCGCUAAUGAAUCAUGCAUCUCCAGUUCCCCCUCCCCUGAGACAGUUAUGAGUGCUCGAUCGAUUAGAACUCUUAUUCCAGUAUAAGGAUGGAAACCACAAUCUUCCAGAAUUCGGGCUGCACAGUCUUUCUCCAUCCCUUUAAAGAAACAUGCAAUGUCUAGAAAGAUGUCCUUCUCCUUGUCAUCUAGUCCAUCGAAGCUUGAUUUAAGCACAUCAUGAAUUCCCCUUCGCGGGAUUUUCCUUAUUUUUUCUAACUCAUCUUCCCACUCGCGUAUAGUUUUGUUACCAAGAAAAGCUCCCAAGACUUUGAGUGCUAAAGGCAGGCCUUGAGCAUAUUCUACGACAUGAUUCGAGAGAUCAUCAUAAUCUCUGGUGGGUUGGUUUUUUCUGAAGGCGUGCCGCCUAAAGAGUUUCAGAGCUCCAGAAUCACUCAAAAUCUUGGGAUUAUAUAUCACAUCAGCUAUGCUUAGUAAUUGCGAAUCUCUAGUUGUUAUAAUAAUUCUGCUUCCACCACCAAAGGAAUGUGGCUCUUCAAGUAAAGCUUCAAUUUGUUCUAAUUCGUCCACAUCAUCAACAACAAUAAGAACUUUUCUCUGACCAAGGCUUUCUAACAUCACCUGAAAACCUUUACUCGAUAUGUCAGAACUCCCCACCUUGUUGUUCGAGAUACUCAAUAGAAGUUGUGCCUGCAUAUGUAGUUUGCCAUGCUUCAUGAAACCUUCCUUGAAAUUUUCAAGAAAGCAACAAGCUUCAAAUCGACUAGCGAUUUUAUCAUGAACAGCUCUAGCGAUGGUUGUUUUGCCUAAACCACCCAUACCCCAUAUUCCAACAAUGCGAACAGUAUUCGUUUCACCUCCGGGAGGAUAUAAUAAUAGAUGCAUUUCAUGCAUGUGAGAAUCCAUGUCAACCAAGCCAUUAUCUUUGCUUGAUGUUGAUGAGAUGUCGAUCAAUUUCCUAUAAACAUCUUCUACAAUUUCCUCAAUAAGCACCACAUCAUUCCUGUCAAAUUAAAAAAAAAACAAUAUAAUAACACCACCAAAUAAUAAUUAAUGGGUUUUUUCAUCUGUUAGUUUUAAAAAAAAAACAGAAAUUAAAACUAAAAACUAGAUAUUUAUCAAAUGACCCCUAAACGUGACAAAAAUCCCAAAAAUUAAUAGGAAACUAAAACAAAUUAGAAUUUACUCAUAGUUUCGCGAAUCCCAGCCGGAUAAACUGGUGGCAGUUGUAAGAGCGGAUCUCCAGCUCUGAACCUCUUCCAUUUCAGCGUUAGAAUCACGAUAGUGCUGAGCAAAAGCUUCCUCGAAUUUUCUCUUGAGUUUACGAACGUCAGACGGAUCAACUUCAUAGAAAAUGGGGAGUACAAUCCGGUUAUUGGUAUCCUUGCAUUCCAGGAUUUGCACGAGUUCUUUCAAGCACCAAGUGGAAGAAGCAUAGUUUUGAGAGAAAACUACAAUCGAAAGCCUUGACUCUCGAAUCGCUGUCAGGAGCUCGGAAAGGUGGUCGCCUUUUCUGAGCUUUUCGGCAUCAAUGAAGGCGUUGAUUGGUUUCUUAGCCAGAGCGUUGUAGAGAUGGCUGACGAAGCCCCUGCGAGUGUCUUCCCCUCUGAAAUUGAUGAACACAUCGUAUUUGCAACCAAGGCCAGAAGAAGAUGAAGAAGAAGAAGCAGCCAUUAUUAAUCGAUCGCACCUGGUCAGCGAUGAUCGAGCCGCUAAGACUAGAGAAUUGUAAGUACAGAAAUACUCAAUAGAUCUACAAAUUUGAUCACCGGAAAUUAGUCACUGAGUCAAUGCAAAAGGGAAUUUUCUUCAGGAAAUUUCGGUGUGAAAGGAAUCCGCAUACUUCGGAUUUUUCAACCCAAGAAAAUGCGAAGAAAGGGGACAAAGUAGUAAAUUUAAUCUACAGUUGCCUACCCAACACCCUCUUGAUUUAGAGGGUGUAUUCAAUUAGGAUUCUGAGAGGGUUUCAGGAAAUUAAUAAUUUCAGGAGUAUUCAAUUAGGAUUUUAAGUGAUUUUUUGAAAUUCUAGGUGUAUUCAAUUAGAAUUUCAAAAUAGUUUAUGAAAAUCCUUAGAAAUCCAGGUGUAUUCAAAGUUUAUAACAUUCCAUGUGUAUUCAAUUAGAAAUUGAUUUUAAAGAAUUUGAGAAAGUUAAAGAAUUAGAGGGAAUUGGAGAGAUUACGUAGUGUAUUUUAAGUAUCCACAAAUCUCACAUAUUCCCAUGAGAUUUCGAGGGAAUUGAAUCAAAAUUUUAUAUGGAAUCUCUACAAAUCAAUUAAACUCCAUAAAAAUCAAUGGAUUUAUAAAUCCAUUAAAAUCUCUCACAUUCUCAAUUGAAUAUAUAUUAAAAAGAUAAAGUUAGUCUCACAUGUAAUCUCUACGUACUAACAAUUAAAUGAGAGUUCCGUUUUAACUUAAUAUAUGUAACUUACAUGCUAAUAAUUAACGAAAUAUUAGCAAAAUUUUUAAUUUUAAGCAUAAAUUCUAAUUUAGAUAUCUUCUAACUAUCUUAUCACCUUAAAAAUUAUUAAUCAAAUUAAACUUAUUAUUUAUUUAUAAAUGCGUAACUAAAUCACAAAGUGUUGAAUGAAAGGGAGCACUCCAAAGGAUGAAAAAGCGGGAGCAUCGAAAGCUAUCUCCGUUUUUUGCUGUCUAUUUGUCUUCUUUUGGCAGAUAGCUCCUAGACUCCUAGGGGCCGGCCUAUUUUCCACAGCUGGUUAUAGGACUCAGUUGCUAUUGAAGAAGUGCUUUGUUGUAAUUCAAUAUCGAUGGAAAUUCAACAGAAUCUUUUUCAAAUUUUUGUGAGGAUUUUGGGGUGUAAGUGAAUUGUUUUUGUUCAUUGUAUAUUGUGCGGUCAUUUUUCAUCAAAUACUGUUUAUGUUUCAUUUUAAAUAAAAUAAUUUAAAAUAAUUUUUAGCUGCAAGUUGUACGAUGAACUGAUAUAAUUCAUAAAUCUUUAAAAUCCUUACAAAGAAAAUCUGAAAAAAAUCCGAAUUCAAUGGAAAUAAGCUGAUUUUGAAUCAAAUAACAUUACUUUACAACACUGCAGUUUUCAGCAUUGCACCGGAGAUCGUGCGGUCAUUCGUCCUUCUGUUCUCCGUAGUUUUGCCGACUUUGGUUCCACUUGCUGUCCAAUGCGCUAGGCGGCUUAUCAGGAUCAGGCUUAGAGAACCUGUAGUAAACUGCAUUAUGUGGUUCGUUUAUAGCUGUACAUCAUAAGUCUAUUUCCGGGAUCAUAUCAUCGUUGGCGCAUUCAUCAUAGAAGCUCCAGCUUCGUAUCCAAGUCAGUCGUUACUAUCUUACAUUUGCUAUAUAUUACAAAAUUUUGGGUGGGAAAACUUCUUAUAUGAUAAUGCGUGAAGAAUUCAGUUCGAAAACAGUAAAACAAAAUUAUUUGUACUAGUUCUUCUACUUGAUAUAUGAUGGUGUGUUUUUUGUUUUUUUGACCGAGGUUUAUAAUGGUGUUUGUUCUAUAAGUCGGCAUCUUUGCCAACCGCAAUCGAUACUGUCGUUCGAUACUGCAAAUGAAAACCCGGUGGGUGCGCAAAAUUUCGAGCCAAUCCUACAAUCUGACAGAUUGUAGGAAGAAAGGAACAAUGUUGUUGGCAGCACAAAAGUUCAUAAUCUUCUACUUGGAGUAAUCUGUUUAAGGCUUUAAUAUUCAUGCAGAAAGUUUUACAAAAUGAUCGCCUUUCGACAUAUAUCACAAUGGCGAUCUUUAAUCAUAAUGACUUGUACUGCUCGAUCAAACGAGACGCAUGGAGGCACGACGUAGGAGCCACGGUGCAGCCCAAACUUUGCAGAUAAGAAAUCUGGUAAUUCACAGCAUGACAAACAUAUUAUUGGGUCUCCUGACCAUCCUAGAUACCAAUGUGUGCACAAGGAAAGGAGUAAGGUAAUCAAAUGCUUGAGUCUUGUGUACCUGUUUCGGUGUUGGUUCGGAUGAACCCAUUGAGUUCUCGAUCCUUAACUUCUGGAAAUGCUCCUGAAAGCAUAAAUAUAUGUACGGAUUUAAACCAAUGACAAUGGACAUAAUUUACAGACAAUGAUUGAAGAAAAUACAGAUAUAAAUGCCUCAGUAUUCCAUUGACGAAAGUUCUAGAUUUGAUGAAUCAAACGUCCCACGUUGAGACUGCGUUAAGGCAAAUGGUUCUCAAACACAAAGCAAUAGUUUGCUACCGAAAACAACCAAAGUUUGACAAAGGAAACCGUCUUACACCUAACCUGUUUUUCCCUCAUCAAAUGAGCGCGUUGAUCUGCAGGUAUUUUCUGCCAUCUCAAAACCUGUUACAAAGAAAUAUAACAUUGAUGUCGAGCUGGAUAGCAUAUAUACCAAUUAUGUGUACAAACCUAUUGAAAUAAAGUAGCUGUAGUUGCAUAUUACGACAGAUAUUAACGAAAACAAAAGAAGGCUCGCCUAUUCAAGAUCCUAAAUCCCGUGAUUCUUUUGUUUUUAGUUUCAGAAAUUUUCAGAGCACAAACUGGAAAGUACCAAGAUACUUACAUAUUGGGCAUAAUGAAAUGCAUCUUCAUCUUUCAAGCAAGAUUUCAGUGAGCGCAAACCGUCCUGAGAGUUACAUAGAGUCAAUCAGUAAUAUAAAAACGUAGAUGCAUCACACCCAAACACAAGUAUUCAAACACCGACAACUUCUUCAUGCGGUGAGGCAUGUUAAAAAAUAGGGAAGAACAGUUAUUGAACAGGAAGUUAAAGGACUAAAUUUAUGACCUUGUGUUUGUAGUUCUUGGCUCGUGUGCGUUCAUCUAUUACAAAACCAAUCUGUAACAGGUACAACAGAAAAUAUAAGCAGUAGUCAGAACAUUAAGCAUCGGCAUUCACAUUGCCACCAAUCCAAAGUUAAAAGUCUAAAGGCAAAACAGUAUGAUUCUUAUCUCUCAAACAAAAAUGAAACUAUACCCCGGUCUCAGACAUAAAUGAAAUAAGUUCUACUGCCUCAACUGAGUACUGUGAUUAUAUAUAAAUCCAAUUCACCUUGUCAAGUAAUCUCUUAGGAUCUUGAAAUGCUUGCUUCUUAGCCCAGUCAUUAAAUACAUGCGAGAUAAUCGAUCUCUCAUCCACACUGAAUCUAUUGCACAGUGACAGAAGAAUAAAGUUAAACAUGAACAUAACCAACCAAAAAUGCUAGUUAUAAUAGUAUACCCAUAAUUGCAAGCAAAACCUUUUUAAGAAGCCAUUUCCAUGGUUUUCCUCCCCAAAUUCCAUCAAUUCUGCAGAGGCAACGUCAAAUUUACUAUGAUGGAGAUCAUUUUGCACCAUAACAACUUCAGAAGGUAGGAGAUUUGGUUUGAGAUCAUCUGUUGACGGAGUAGUUUCUUUUGAAGUGUCAUGAUGCUUUGAUUGCAAGCCUUCUGUACUUACGUCAGCCUACAAAACAAAAAUUGCAUUCAUCCACACUAGACUUAAUAAGAUUAGAAACACUUCAGAUUCUUCACUAUUUGUAAGUUUGACUAAACAGCAGAACAACUAAGGAUAAUGAACAGUAAUACACACCUGGACUUCUCGUAGAUGAUUUGGAAUUUCUUUCAGAAAUCGCGAAGGUUGAAGCAUCUGAAGGAGUCACCUUCUCAGUCAGAGCAACAAAAAAUAAGGAGGACAGGAAUUCAAGCUAAAACGAACCUGCCAACUGGAAUCCAUCGUAACAUAAAGAAUGAAAAGCUUUUUUCGAGCACGAGUCAUUGCAACAUAUAAUAGGCGUCUUAACACUUCAAAGCUCUGCAUAUAACUAAAAGGUCGUACCCAGUGCACAAGGCUCCCGCUUUACGCAGGGUCUGGGAGAGGUGAAUGUCAGCUAGCCUUACCCCCAUUUUAUGGAGAGGUUGCUCCCAAGUCUCGAACCCGAGACCUACCGCUCAUGGGCGAAGGCACUUGCCAUCACACCAAGUGCGACCUCUAAUUGUAUCAAAUACAUAUAUUCACAAAAAUUAUAUAUGACCGUUAGAUGUAUUAAAUACAUGCAAGUAUUGUAGCUAGAUGAUUAUUGAGUAAGGAAAUUCGAUCCUGACUUGCAAGACCUAGAGUAUACUAAUGACUUGUACCAGAUCAUGAGUCAACAAGCACGUAAGGUUAUUCAUAGUUUGACACUAGACGACAAUAAUGAAGACAUGAUCCAAUGAUUUUGCAAAAUAAAAAGUGCCUUAACAAAUGAUUUUGGUGUGCCACCGGAGAAAUCUAAAUCAUAUUCAUUGAAAGGCCAGUUAUUUCCUUCCAUUCUAAAAGAAAUACAGCAAUGAAUGUCAAACUAUAAAAUGUAUCUCCUAAAGUUGAGAGAAAGGACCCUUACCUACAUUACGGAAAAACACUAUCUUCCAAUGAAGUGGCAUAAAAAUUGCUGAAAUAUGUUAAUUUCUAAAGUACAAAUAAAACAACCUACCUUUUCAAAGUAGAAAUUUAUAAGUGCCUUUUCAAAGUAAAAACUUAAAAGUGCCUCUUCAAUGUUUUCAUUUUCAAAUAAAAGUGGUCCAAAAUGCUUGAAGACAACUAGGAAAAAGAAACAUAACUGAUUGAAGACCAUAUAGGAAAUCAAUGGAGCUUGAAUUUCUAGAUUAAUAAACAAAUUAACAGAGCUUCUGUACUACACAAGCCUUCCAAGGAUAAGAAGAAUAACAGAAGAAUAAUAAAAAUCACAUAUAGGUGCACAUGAACCUUCACACGUCCAGAAAAUUUGCAAAAGAAGUACAGCAAUAACAUAGAUGACAUAUGGCUUGGCGCACACACUCACACAGAGAAGCGUAAUAAGUAAUAAUAUUCCCAAAUAGCUGCACAUUCAAUUGCACACAUACAACAAGAACUACAACAAUAACGUAGACAUGACGCGCACGCGCACACACACACACACACACUCACGGAGCUAGUGAAUGCAACAAUAAUCAGCUGACCUGGUUCAAGACUGGAGCAGUGGUAGUGCAAUCGUCACAUUUUUGUUGACAUCAUGAACUUGGCUUUUUUCUCAGCUGGCUUAAGAAUCUGGAAAGAGCACAUUAAGUUUUCAUCUACACUCAUCAUCGCACCAGCAUUGUCAAACUCACCACAGUAGUUGGGAGCUGAAAAAAUUGUAACAAGUUGCCUGUCCGCAAAGAAUUCAUAACCAUCUUCCAUUGGCAUGUUUAAUCUGCAUAUAACUGAAAAAUGUUAAACAAUUUACCGCACAUCUCAAUGGAGGUCCCAUUUUCUUUUGCAACGCCAUUGAAUUCAUGGAACGGGAUCUCAGAUUCAUUUACCUGUGUUAUUGGCAUGAGCAUUAAAGCAAGCUAAGAUGAUUUGAAGAGGUUGAUAUCGUCAUGAAUAUACUAGAACAGAAUACCAAUUUCAAGCCAUCAAUUAGGUAUAGCAUUGGCAUGUUUAAUCCGUAAAUCUAAUGACAGAACACCUCAACUCUACACAUAAAUAAAUAAACAACCUGGAAAAUAUUACAGCCACUUGUUAAGGCAAAUACCUUAAUUAUGAAAACCAUAUCCCACUCUAAACCUUUUGACUGCAAGAGAAUGAAAAAGAAAGACAGUAAGCCAAGAAUGUUUGUAGAACUCCAAAGGAAGUCCAAUAGGGAAAUCAUCGCAAGUAUAAGAGUUAGCGAGGUUCGCAUAAGAGGAUAUCAAAAAGAUCUAGAACCUGAUGAAUAGUAGUCAAAGUGACAGAACUUUGGUUGUCAUGUCUUCGGGAGUGAAAAUUUUCACUCUCCCGCUCAGAUAUGUAGUCGAUGAAAGCUUUGAGUAAAUUAACGCAGCCUUUUUCUUCUGCUACGACUUCUCUCUCCCCUUUUCCCACAACAAAAUGAGUUGAUAAGAAAUCAGAUACGUCGUCUAGUAGGUACUGAAGAACCUGCAAUGAGAAUAAUCGCAUCACAACAACAGGGUUGGACCAAGAUUUAAGUGACAACAAUGAUUAACUAACUAAAAUAGAGAAAUUAUUCAUUUAAGACCUUGUUGACUGGAAAAAGGGUUUUCCAAGCAGCGGGUCAUUUAAGCUUUUUGUAUAAAUGACAAUCAUCACAAACGGCAAACUUACAGAUCUCAUGUCAUUGUCUUCAUUCAGCAGUUUUCCUCCAUCUACAUCAACGACUGCACGUUGCUCAAGACGGUACUUCUAAAAAUUGAAAGUCAAACGAUAAAUUAUUAAGAAGCAUUGAAUAUAAGCAUGAAACGAAGAAAAUGUUAUGGAAUGGUGAUCCUCAUCCUCAAAGAUGAUUAAAAGCAAUUUGAUUCAAAAAUGACAUAUCAACUCUGGAGAAAUGGAAGACAAACCUGUGGUACCAUAUUCGCAACUGAGGUUAUGACAGCUGAAAUCGAUUGUUCCUGUGUGCAUUGAUAAGUGAGACUACCAUAGAGAUUCACAACUAAAUAAAGAUAGGUAUUCCACAGAACAACCUUUACCUCUUUGGAAACACAGAUCUAACAAAAACUAUAACAUUUUGGAUUAAUAUUGACGAAUCAAGAAUAAUGCAAGGGAGCAAGAGAUACUCUUCCUUCUAAUAACAAGGAGGCAUGAAAAGUAUACAGAGUUCCAACAAUUAGAGAACUAAAAUCAAACUAAAAAAAUCACCAGAGUAGACAGAAUCUCACUUCGCCAAAAAUUUGAAAAUAUAUCCUUUUUAUCCAUUGAGAUUCAUGAACUACUCCUACUCAUCAUGCCAAUAAGCAAUGCGUAAGAGGUGCUACAAUUUACCGAAUAUAUUUACCCUGAGAACAAGUUUUGAAAUCAUCUCUAGUGUUAACAGCACCUUGCGUCCUUGGGUAAGCUGAGUCCUAUUAUCAAGUAAAGAGACCAAUCAGUACAUCCAAAAGAUCUUAAAUGCCUCUAAUACCAAUAAGAAAGAAACAUGAGUAUAUCUUGAAUUAACCAUGCAAAAAUGUAAUGUUAAAGCAUCUUGUCAUACAGACCUCUUCAAGGUACCAGAAAUUUUUGCACUAAAGAUGUCACAAGCAGCUGAUAUGAAGCUGCAUUUUCUGUGAGUUGAAAUUUUGUCAAUAUAAUCGAUCACCUGAAGAGAGAGAGAGAGAGAAAGACAGUGAUAUCCAGAGAUGUGAGCCUAGAUGCUGAGUGUGUAAAAAAAGAAGAUUAAAUGGAUAGCAAGAAUAUACAACUUUAAUGCUGAAAAGAACAUUGAAUAUGAUGCUCAUUCAAUUGCCAUUGAACGUGUACCUUCUUCUUUCCUCUUUCUCAAAAGCAAGUAGAGCCUUGAAGACUUGCCUAUAUGAUCCAUCAUCACAACCAGGCAAAGUUGUUUUAAUCAUAGCAACAAUGGCUCUAACUACCUGCCAUAAGAAACAUACUACAUCAACAAGAUCACAGUGUACCAGAAACCGUAAUGUACCAGAAACAUACUACAUCAACAAGAUGCAGUCUCCAGGAUCUUGUCGACAACAAAGGCACAUUGUGCAUCCUCAUUGUGACUUUCCUUGAUAAUUACCUACAUUUUGCCAGUAAACCGGUGUCACUAACUAAAAGGACUGAAAAAUGACAUCAAAUUGUACUUGUUGGAGCAAGGAAAGAUUAAGUACCUUAGACCCAGAAGAAUUGUCCGUGUCAACAUUCUUUAGUUGGCAUCGCUUCUUAUUGUUUUUUAUAACAGAAGAUGCAGCUUCCACAAUAUAGCGUGUGGACCGAAAGUUUUUAUUAAGCCUAAUCUGAACCAUAAAGUUAUGUCAAAUCCCACAGAACCCCAUAAAAUAAAACUUACUUUCCUGUAAUUGUACAAUAUAUUUGUUCUAUACUAUAUACAAUGUUUUAAAAGGUUCGCCUCGGGGCGCGCCUAGGUGCCCUGUGAGGCUGGGCUUGAGGGUUGCCGCCUCUGUUUUCAGGGAGUGGGAGGAAGGCGUCGCCGGAGCCGCCUAAGCGCCAGAAGGCGCCACUGGAGCCGCCUAGGUGAGCCUCAGGGGAUUUUUUUUUUUUUUUUUUUUUUUUUUUUUUACUCCCAAACCCAAAUUUUGGGUAGGGUUUUAACUAGCUCAUACUCUUCCUUGCACUAUCAUCUCUCUGCCUUCUUUUCUGAUUUUUAUUUUUUAUAUAAUGGAUGUGUGUGCCGUCUGCGUGCAUUGUUAUAUGUGUGCUCAUCGUGCUUUUCAUCCUCUAUUAUAUAUAUAUAUAUAUAAUAUAAUAUAUGUAUAUAUAUAUGUGUGUGUAUAUGUAUUUAUAAUAUAUGUGUGUGCUCAGGAUGAUUAUUGAUUAAUAAUCUUCUUUUUUUUAAUAUAAUAUAUGUGUAUGCUCAGUGUAUAUAUUAAAAAAUUUAGGUCCCGUGAGGCAUCGCCUCACUCCUCACGCCUAGGCUGGGCUAUCCCUCGGACGCCUCGCCCACGCCUCAUGCUUUUAAUACAUUGACUAUAUAUAAUGAAAAAAGACACUGUGAAUGACAUAAGAUAACAUAGCAGUCAAGUGCGAAGCGAACCUUUUUGUAAUUUGAAAAAUCUUUACGAAAAUAAUCAAAUCCAGAAAUGUCCGCCCCAUUGAAACUGAAAAUGGGCAGCAGGAUAUAUGUUAUUUGAUUUAGAACAGAUAAGGGCUGGAUUAGAAUGAGCUGAGAGAGAGAGAGAGGGAGAGAGGGAGAGAGGGAGCAAUAACAUUGGAUUUCCAUAAUAAAUCAACAACAUGCCUGAUCAUCAUCGCCAACAAUGGUUAUGUGGUUAUGAGAGGCGAGAAUCCGCAAAAGACUAUAUUGCAUAGCACUUGUGUCUUGAAACUCGUCUAUUACAAUAGCUUUCCAUGACUCCUGGCACUCCUUCAACACUAAUUAAGAGAACACCAUGUAUCAACAUUUAGCAUUACUUGUAAAACUAGAUAAAUCAAUGAAAUAUACUUAGAUGAUAGAGACCUUCAGGAAAAUCACUUAGCAGCUUCACAGAGCAGCUAAUUAAGUCGUGGUAGUCCAAAGCGUUGCACGAUUUCAAGAUAUCAUUGUAAUUCCUAAGAAUUUCACCCUGAUUCAGAUUGAGAGCUAAAACUCAUAAGCAAUAGUUUCAAAGAACUGAAAUGAUAUCUGAAAUUCUAGUUCUGAGCGUACUCCUGUCACAUCACCCAUUCUUCGGCAUUCAGCGGGAGUCUUUCCAGAAGCUUUUGCCUGAAACAUAAAUAAAUUUAUUGCCUAAUGCCACAUAUUGUAAGACACACCAUUGUAUUGGUCAUUCUAGCUUGAUUGUAGCUAAUAUUUUUUAAAUCGAAUGAUUAGAGUUCUUAAUCCACAAUAAUCUGAACAUUAAAUUUGGUAUUCAUGACUAACCUGUGUCACAAACUUCAGCCAUUUCUUUGAUGCAUCCUUAAAAUGAUGUGGAGAUGUUACGCCGUUAGACUCUUCCCCAUCUAUAGCAACAUUAAGAUUCGUUUUACUCUUUUCAUCUUCUGAUAACCGCACAGCUUCAAUGAUUGCUCUUCUCUGUUGCCCAUGUCCAUAUAUCAAAAAUUCUGGUCUGCGCUCGAGUCUAAAACACAAGCCAACAUAACAGACUCAGCUAUACCACCAAAUGUAUGGUGUUCAAAAUCAAGGGAGGUGAAUCAAUAGCUUACUUCUCAGCAUGUGAUCGGCAAAGUUGCAAUGAAAAUGAAUGAAAUGUACUGAUUGUUAGUAGUUUUGCCGUUGCUUUCCCAGUCACAGAUCCAAUUCGAUCUCUCAUCUCGGAAGCUGCUGCUGUAGUGAAAGUCAUUGCUAGAAUGUUCGACGUGCUAAUGCCCUAAGAACACAAAAAAAAAAAAAAAAAAACGUAUAAGAUUUCGAUCAUAAACAAGAAAUGUAGAGAAACACACAAUUACGAAAGAAAAAGUUAGAGGGAAAGUAGCAACACCUCAUUGAGCAGCAUUAGAACGCGCCCAACUAUCGUUGAAGUCUUUUCCACUUCCAGGGCCGGCAAACAAUCAUCAAAGGUACUGAAAUAUCGCUGCAAGCUGCCUCGCGCUGCCUUUCGUUGAGAGAAAGCAAAUACUUCAAAUACUCAUCCGGCAUGUUAGGCCAUCCAUGGUUAACAGAAUCUGUUUGGUUUUCACUACUCAAAGGCGGCGCUGAUGCGGCACUAACGUCACUACCACAACUCCCAAUAUCAUCACGCUGAAUGUCCACACUCGGUUUCUGCUCGAUUAAAGCGUCAAUUUCCUGCAAAAUACUCUCAUCGAAAUCA
rnacentral:lncRNA from 1 species